rnacentral:lncRNA from 1 species
GGGGACUCACGCAGCCUGUCGUGCCUGGAGACAAAAUGUGAAACCAGCAACACAUAGAGCCACUGUGUAUAUGGAAAUGACAUCGCACACGUAUUUUUUAUUUGAUGAAAGACAUCUCACACGUUGGACAACAAAUGGCAAUUCCAUUUCAUGCGAUCGAUCGAGCAAAUAAAUGGAAAUCAACCACCAGCUAGCUACGUAGCUACGUAGAUUACAUCAGAGGAUUCGGCGCCGGCAAGCUAGCAAUCGCAUAUGCCAAUUGGGACAGCCAGUCGGCGUAGAUGUUCUCCUUGCCCAAUGGAUUCUUGUUCGCGCUCCCCUCGAACAAGAGCAGGUCGCACCUGUCGGGAUCUUGGUUGGCCUCCAGCAGUUUGCCGGACGCCGCUUCGACGCGCCCGGCACGGAGGUCACCCAGCGCGGCGUCCAGGGUCCUCUUCAUCUCCCUGUAGUAGCGGAGGCAGCCGCCGAGGUUCUUGACGAGGUCCUCGACGGCGAGCACCGUCGACGUGACGUUGGCCACGGUGAGGCUGGUGGCCACGACGGCGAGCUCACGUGCGUCCUUGGCGGACGCGGCCGCCGGGUCGGACGAGAGCGCGCCCACGCAGGAGUCGUACUCGUAACCCAGUUGCCCACCGGGUCGGCCGACGGCGGCGCAUGUCCUUGUGAUGAUCGCGGACGGAGUGCCGACGGCGAGGAUGCCGUCUCCGGUAGCCAGGAGGAGGAUGAGGGUGAGGAGUAAAGCAACCUGAGGAUGCAUCGCCAUCGUCGGUCCUACCCACCUCGCCGUGACUAUCACCAGUCGGCGGCGUGUAUUUAUGCACGCAACGAAUAGAACAGAUUAAGUAACGGUAGGAAUGAAAUUAAUACAUCAAUAUUAUGCUUUUGCAAUCUUUACCAAAUCAAUCAGAUCUAGCUAGCUUUAGAGUCUUUAACGACGGAAGACAAAAUCCUGUAUUUAUUGAGAGAAAUCGGUUACUAGAUCAUGCGUUAAUGACUCCCAUUUGUCGAUCAUAAAUUGGAAAGUUUGGAGGUAAUCAUACAUGGAUUAUUUUCACUUAUUUUCGCCUCACCUCCCACCACCACCUCUCAACUCCGAUUUUUCGUGGUAAGUGCUGAUUCAAUUAAAUCACGUAAAUAUUAGGUAAUCAGGAAUUUAAAAAUCACACCAUAUAUGUGCAACCACUUUUCUAAAAGAUAAGCAUGAGAUUUUUUUUCUUAAUAACCUUUCAAAAUGAAAUCAAAUAUUUCUCAAUAACAAAUUGCUAAUCCCGUGCAAUAUAUCGUUUAUUAUCUAUCUAUUAUUAACUCUACUAUUGAAUCACAGUCACAAUUUUUCCUAAUACAAAAAUAAAAUCUUAUAUCUUGCAAAUCUUUAACAUUAUAAAAAGGGAAUCCCCCAGGUUACCUUGGUCGAGCUCCUCCCUCCCAUCAAACGACCCCACCUCCCCAUUAUCCAUGUUAAAAUUCCAUCCCAAAAAAAAUAAGAAGAAAAACCCAGUCCCACCCGCGGCUCCCUUCCUCGUUUCUGUUUCAGGGCACUAAAACCGCAAGUACCAAAAUCCGGUCCACAAUCCAUCGUAGACGCACGUGCACACGUGUCCGUGUACGGUUACCUGCCAACACAUAAAAAUUCGAUUCCACAACCGGAUACUCAAUUUUCAAAUCAUCAAAUCCAUAUUACAUGCAACAUGAAACCUAAUCUAAGUGGAGCUCGUCUGGCUCCGCCGUGACCAUGUCCGGCGGUCGGCUGCACCCCUCGAAGUGUUGCUCCGGUCGCCGACGAGGUAUACUAGGACAUGGGACAUGUACCGGCUAACAGGACUCGAGUCGUCGCCGUCUCCCAUGCCCUACUUUUCCUCGUCGGAGCCCGUCGCCUACACGUCUUCGGUGGACGUGGGAUCGAUGAUGGAUUCGUCGUGGUCGGAACCAGCUACGUGCACCACGACCGGUUGCGGCUCCCGGGGUGGCCGUGCACCAUACAUAGCGCCGGAGAGUGCGACCGCCUCGCCAACAUCCGCCGCGAUGGCUGUUGCCAUCUCUCGCGCCCGCUGUCUUGCACAACUGUCUUGCAUAGUGGGCACGCUGCGCCAUACUUGCGUCGGACGACGGCCAUGCGUUCACCUCCGCCUCAGCGCGCCAACGAAGCGGUUGCGCAUCCACCGUCGCGUUCGGACACCACAUGGACCGCACUGCCUCCAAUGAGUAUCAGUCCCCAUCCCUUGCAGCACCAACAAGGCGUCCUGCCGCACCAGGGGCGAUACUCGUUUGCACCAGCAAUGACUUCCCAACAAUACAAUCACGGGCCUUGGAGCACCGACCUGACCUAUAUCACUAGGGCACUCUCUUCCCCGUCUAGUAUCAAUCCAUGUCCAAAAUGGGACCGACCAUCGCCACUUGAAGAUGAGUCGAUUGCUACAACGAUGGUCGCUCUACUGUAAUCUAGAGCCUAGUGUCGAGGACAUUCACCGACAGUGGAUACCAGUGCAGUGGAGCCUUUAUCGCAGCGUCGACCGCCGUGAGCCUAAGAUACUAUGCUUGUCUUGCAGGAGACCCGCUACGGACGUGCCUUGCUGCAGGCCCAUCGCCGCCUAUUGCCGCAAAGCAAGCGCAACACUCGCUAGUGUUCGCUGCCCUAGACUAUUUCUCUCCUCUGCGCACGGUGGUGGGAGGACGAUGGCUGAAACGUCUGGUGGCGUGGGGAUUAUAGAUAGGAGCAUAUCAGAUGGCUUCUGUUGCGAUCGAUUUUCCCCCAAAUUAUAAGGUUGACACUUAGCACACCCCUUUCGUUAUUUUAUUUUGCUACUAACUUUUAUUUAUUCGUUUUUUUAGUCUAAUUUUUUUUACAUUUUUGAAUGUUUUUCUUUUCUUUUGAGUUUUUUAUUUGUAUACCAUCUUCUUUUUUCUUAUGUCUUCCUUUUUCAUACAUAAUUUAAAAAAAUAUGAUGAUCAUUUUUACAAUGUGUGAACAUUUUUACAAAUACAUGAUGAAUAUUUUCUUAGAUAUGUAAUGCAAAGUUUCAACAUUUUUGGUAUAUGAUGAACAUUUCUUAGAUACACGAAGAAUAUUGUUUUUAAUACGCAACAACCAUUUUACAAAUAUGUGAUGAAUUGUUUUAGAUACGUGUGCGAUGAAUAUUUAAAAACAUGUGACAAAAUGUGUAUAAAUGACAAUGAACAACACUAAAUAUGAUAUAAGUAUUUUAGACCAUCAUGAUGAUUUUUUCAUUAAUAUGUGAAUUAAAAAAUUCCUGAAAGAAAAUAAAAAGCCGGCUCAUAGCCAGACAUGGGCCUGGCCCAUGCGUGCUCCCACGUGGGCGUUUCCACACCUAUUCGUCGCACUGUGCAGGGAGUAGGGGGACUCAUGCAGCCUGUCUUGCCUGGAGACAAAAAUGUGAAACCAGCAACAAUUCCUGGAUGUUAUCUGUCACGUAGGGCCAUUCUGUAUAUGGAAAUUCGAAUUAAAGCAUCACGUUGAACAACAAAUGGCAAUUUCAUUUUAUGCGAUCGAUCGAGCAAAUGGAAAUCAAAUCAACCACCAGCUAGCUGCGUAGCUAGAUUAAUAAGCCGCAUGAGACCAAGAAUUAAACUUGACGUCGGUGCCGGGGAUUCAGCGCCUGCGAGCUAGCAAUCGCAUAUGCCAGUCGGGACAGCCAAGCGGCGUGGGUGUUCUCCUUGCUCAUCGGGUUCUUCUCCGCUCUCCCCUCGAACAAGAGGAUGUCGCAGUCGCUGGGCGCGUGGGAGGCAUCCAACAGUUUGUCCGACGCCGCUUCGAGGCGCCCAGCACGUAGGUCACCGAGCGCGCCCUUCAGAGUCUUGUUCAUGUCCCUGUAGUAGCGGAGGCAGGCCCUGAGGUUCUUGACAAGGUCGUCGAGGACGAGCACCGUCGACGUGACGUUAGCCACGGUGAGGUUGGUGGCGACGACGGCGAGCUGACGUGCGUCCUUGGCGGCCGCGGCCGCCGGGUCGGCCGAGAGCGCGCCCGCGCAGGAGUCGUAACCCACUUGCCCACCGACAGCGGCGCAUGUCCUUGUGAUGAUCGCGGACGGAGUGCCGACGGCGAGGCUGCCGUCUCCGGUAGCCAGGAGGAGGAUGAGGGCGAGGAGUAAAGCAACCUGACGAUGCAUCGCCAUAUGACUGUUGUCGUAUCGUACUCACUUCACCCGCUCACCGUGACGGUGUGACUAUCAUAUUGUGAAUGAUUUAUACACCGGAACGGAGGUAGUAGUAGCUAGCGCUUAGGUACCAGAUCGUAUGUUAAUGACUGCCAUUCGUUGAUCAUAAAUCGAGGGCAGUAGGUUUCUGUUAUAUUUUUUUUUCGAGGGGGUAGGUUUCUGUUAUAAGAUGGAUGGUUGGGACAUACAAACCACGGGGACGACCGGUUCAACCAAUCAAAAUUCAAAAUUCAAGCAAUCUUUCCUCCUAACAGGGAAGUUCGUAGGGUGGCAUCACAUUGCUUGUUUAUUUUCGCCUCACCUUCUACUACCACUCCUCCACUCUAUUUUUUUGUGGCAGGUGCCGAUUCAAUUAAAUCACAUAAAUAUCAAGUAAAAAAAGAAUUCAAAAAUCACACCAUAUACGUCUGAUCUUCUUCCUAAAAGACAGACAUACGAUUUUUCUCAAUAACCUUCCAAAAUAAAAUCAAAUAUUCCUGAAUAACAAAUUGCUAAUCCACAUAAUAUACCAUUUAUUAUCUAUCAUUAACUCUACUAUUGAAUCAUAAUCACACUUUUUCCUAAUACAAAAAUAAAAUCUUUUAUCUUGCCAAAUCUCUAACAUUAAAAGGGAAUCCCCAGAUUACAUUCGUCAAUCUCCCCCCUCCCACCCAACGAAGCCCACCUCCCUGCUAUCCAUGUUAAAAUCCCGUGCCAAAAAACAAGAAAAAAAAUAAGUCCCACCUGUGGCUCCGGUCCUCAUUCCCCCUUCAGAGCAUCAACAACCGCAAGUACCAAAAUCCGGUCCGAAAACACCCGUGGACGCGCUCACGCGCAUCCGCAUACGGUGACCGGACAACACACAAAAAUUCGAUUCCACAAUCGUAUACCCCAUUUUCAAAUCAUCAAAUCCAUAUUACAUGCAACGUGAAACCUAGUCUAAGCAAAGCUCGUCCGGCUCCACUGCUCCCAUGUCCGGCGGCCGACUGCUACUCACACAGGAGUUGCCCGCAAAAAAAACCUCCCGCGGGAGUUGUUGGAUUCCCAGAAAAGAAAAGGUGAUGUAGCACAACAGCAGCAAGUAUUUCCCUCAGUUAAGAACCAAGAUUUAUCGAACCAGUAGGAGUCACCAUGCUAACAAUGUUGGGGAACGUAGCAUGCAAUUUCAAAAAAUUUCCUACGAUCACGCAAGAUCUAUCUAGGAGAUGCAUAGCAACGAGAGGGGGAGAGUGUGUCCACGUACCCUCGUAGACCGAAAGCGGAAGCGUUAGGUUAACACGGUUGAUGUAUUCGAACAUCUUCAUGAUCCAACCGAUCUUAGUACCGAACGUACGGCACCUCCGUGUUCAGCACACGUUCAGCUCGAUGACGUCCCUCGAACUCUUGAUCCAACAGAGGGUCGAGGGAGAGUUCAGUCAGCACGACGGUGUGCUGACGGUGAUGGUGAUGCGAUCCGCGCAGGGCUUCGCCUAAGCACUACGACGCUAUGACCGGAGGCGUAAAAUGUGGAGGGGGGCACCGGACACGGCUAAGAGAAUAACUGAUGUGCCUUUGGGGUGCCCCCGCCCCCGUAUAUAAAGGAGGGGAGGAGGAGGCCGGCGGCCAAGAGGGGCGUGCCAUGGUGGGAGUCCUACUUGGACUCCCAGUCCAAGUAGGAUCCCCCCUUUCCUUUCACCACCGGAGGGAAAAGGAAGGAGAGGGAGAAGGGAAGGGAAAGGGGGGCCGCGCUCCCUCCUCCUUGUCCUAUUUAGACUCCCUAGGAGGGGGGCGCGCGCCACCCCCCCCGCGGGCUUCCCUCUCUCUCCCUUAGUCCCAUGUAGGCCCAACACUUCCCCUGGGGGGUUUCGGUAACCCCUCGGUACUCCGGUAAAAUACCCGAAUCACUCGGAACCAUUCUGAUGUCCGAAUAUAACCUUCCAAUAUAUGAAUCUUUACCUCUCGACCAUUUAGAGACUCCUCGUCAUGUCCGUGAUCUCAUUCGGGACUCCGAACAAACUUCGGUCACCAAAACACAUAACUCAUAAUACAAAUCGUCAUUGAACGUUAAGCGUGUGGACCCUACGGGUUCGAGAACUAUGUAGACAUGACCGAGACACAUCUCCGGUCAAUAAGCAAUAGCGGAAACUGGAUGCUCAUAUUGGCUCCUACAUAUUCUGCGAAGAUCUUUAUCGGUCAAACCGCAUAACAACAUACGUCAUUCCCUUUGUCAUCGGUAUGUUCCUUGCUUGAGAUUCGAUCGUCGGUAUCAUCAUACCUAGUUCAAUCUCGUUACCGGAAAGUCUCUUUACUCGUUCCGUAAUGCAUCAUCCCGCAACUAACUCAUUAGUCACAUUGCUUGCAAGGCUUAUAGUGAUGUGCAUUAUCGAGAGGGCCCAGAGAUACCUCUCCGAUACACGGAGUGACAAAUCCUAAUCUUGAUCUAUGCCAACCCAACAAACACCUUCGGAGACACCUGUAGAGCAUCUUUAUAAUCACCCAGUUACGUUGUGACAUUUGAUAGCACACAAGGUGUUCCUCUGGUAUUCGGGAGUUGCAUAAUCUCAUAGUCAGAGGAAUAUGUAUAAGUCAUGAAGAAAGCAAUAGCAAUAAAACUAAACGAUCAUAAUGCUAAGCUAACGUAUGUGUCUUGUCCAUCACAUCAUUCUCUAAUGAUGUGAUCCCGUUCAUCAAAUGACAACACAUGUCUAUGGUCAGGAAACAUAACCAUCUUUGAUCAACGAGCUAGUCAAGUAGAGGCAUACUAGGGACACUCUGUUUUGUCUAUGUAUUCACACAUGUACUAAGUUUCCAGUUAAUACAAUUCUAGCAUGAAUAAUAAACAUUUAUCAUGAUGUAAGGAAAUAUAAAUAACAACUUUAUUAUUGCCUCUAGGGCAUAUUUCCUUCAGUCUCCCACUUGCACUAGAGUCAAUAAUCUAGAUUACAUAGUAAUGAUUCUAACACCCAUGUAGUCUUGGUGCUGAUCAUGUUUUGCUCGUGGAAGAGGCUUAGUCAAUGGGUCUGCAACAUUCAGAUCUGUUUGUAUUUUGCAAAUCUCGGUGUCUCCCUCCUUGACUUGAUCAUGGAUGGAAUUGAAGCGUCUCUUGAUGUGUUUGGUUCUCUUGUGAAAUCUGGAUUCCUUCGCCAAGGUAAUUGCUCCAGUAUUGUCACAAAAGAUUUUCAUUGGACCCGAUGCACCAGGUAUUACACCUAGAUCGGAUAUGAAAUCCUUCAUCCAGACUCCUUCAUUUGCUGCUUCCGAAGCAGCUAUGUACUCCGCUUCACACGUAGAUCCCACCACGACGCUCUGCUUGGAACUGCACCAAGUUACAGCUCCACCAUUCGUAUCCGGUUUGCGACUUAGAGUCAUUCGGAUCAGUGUCAAACCUUGCAUCAACGUAACCAUUUACGACAAGCUCUUUGUCACCUCCAUAAACGAGAAACAUAUCUUAGUCCUUUUCAGGUAUUUCAGGAUGUUCUUGACCGCUGUCCAGUGAUCCACUGCUGGAUUACUUUGAUACCUCCCUGCUAAACUUAUAGCAAGACACACAUCAGGCCUGGUACACAUCAUUGCAUACAUGAUAGAACCUAUGGCUGAGGCAUAGGGAAUGACUUUCAUUUUCUCUCUAUCUUCUGCAGUGGUCGGGCAUUGAGUCUGACUCAAUUUCACACCUUGUAACACAGGCAAGAACCCUUUCUUUGACUGAUCCAUUUUCAACUUCUUCAAAACUUUAUCAAGGUAUGUGCUUUGUGAAAGUCCAAUUAAGCGUCUUGAUCUAUCUCUAUAGAUCUUGAUGCCCAAUAUAUAAGCAGCUUCACCGAGGUCUUUCAUUGAAAAAUUCUUAGUCAAGUAUCCUUUUAUGCUAUCCAGAAAUUCUGUAUUAUCUCCAAUCAACAAUAUGUCAUCCACAUAUAAUAUUAGAAAUGCUAUAGAGCUCCCACUCACUUUCUUGUAAAUACAGACUUCUCCAAAAGUUUGUAUAAAACCAUAUGCUUUGAUCACACUAUCAAAGUGUAUAUUCCAACUCCGAGAUGCUUGCACCAGUACAUAAAUGGAUCACUGGAGCUUGCACACUUUUGUAGCACCUUUUGGAUCGACAAAACCUUCUGGUCGCAUCAUAUACAACUCUUCUUUAAGAAAAAUCCAUUAAGGAAUGCAGUUUUGACAUCCAUUUGCCAAAUUUCAUAAUCAUAAAAUGCGUCAAUUGCUAACAUGAUUCGGACAGACUUAAGCAUCGCUACGGGUGAGAAGGUCUCAUCGUAGUCAACUCCUUGAACUUGUCGAAAACCUUUCGCAACAAGUCGAGCUUUGUAAACAGUAACAUUACCGCCAGCGUCAGUCUUCUUCUUGAAGAUCCAUUUAUUCUCUAUGGCUUGCCGAUCAUCGGGCAAGUCAACCAAAGUCCACACUUUGUUCUCAUACAUGGAUCCCAUCUCAGAUUUCCUGGCCUCAAGCCGGGUUUAUUACUCCACACAUCGACCGCUAUCCAGCAUGCAUCUAGAGUAUUAAGUUCAUAAGAACAGAGUAACGCAUUAAGCAAGAUUACAUGAUGUAGAGGGAUAAACUCAAGCAAUAUGAUAUAAACCCCAUCUUUUCUCCUCGAUGGCAACAAUACAAUACGUGCCUUGCUGCCCCUGCUGUCACUGGGAAAGGACACCGCAAGAUUGAACCCAAAGCUAAGCACUUCUCCCAUUGCAAGAAAGAUCAAUCUAGUAGGCCAAACCAAACUGAUAAUUCGAAGAGACUUGCAAAGAUAUCAAAUCAUGCAUAUAAGAAUUCAGAGAAGAAUCAAAUAUUGUUCAUAGAUAAUCUUGAUCAUAAACCCACAAUUCAUCGGAUCUCGACAAACACACCGCAAAAAGUAUUACAUCGAAUAGAUCUCCUAGAAGAUCGAGGAGAACUUUGUAUUGAGAUCCAAAGAGAGAGAAGAAGCCAUCUAGCUAAUAACUAUGGGCCCGAAGGUCUGUGGUAAACUACUCACACAUCAUCGGAGAGGCUAUGGUGUUGAUACAGAAGCCCUCCGUGAUCGAUUCCCCCUCCGGCAGAGCGCCGGAAAAGGCCCCAAGAUGGGAUCUCACGGGUACAGAAGGUUGCGGUGGUGGAAAUAGGGUUUCGUGGUGCUCCUGGAUGUUUUCAGGGUAUAUGAGUAUAUAUAGGUGAAAGAAGUAGGUCGGUGGAGCUACGAGGGGCCCAUGAGGGUGGGGGGCGCGCCUACCCCCCUGGGCGCGCCCUCCUGCCUCAUGGCCGCCUCGUUGUUUCCUUGACGUCCACUCCAAGUCUCCUGGAUUGCGUUUGUUCCAAAAACGACCCUCGCGAAGGUUUCAUUCCGUUUGGAUUCCGUUUGAUAUUCCUUUUCUGCGAAACACUGAAAUAGGCAAAAAAACAGCAAUUUGCGCUGGGCCUUUGGUUAGUAGGUUAGUCCUAAAAAUAAUAUAAAAGUGCAUACUAAAGCCCAUUAAACAUCCAAAAUAGAUAAUAUAAUAGCAUGGAACAAUAAAAAAUUAUAGAUACGUUGGAGACGUAUCACGGACCGUACUCUGGUUGACCUACGAGGUUGGGUAGUAACUUGAUCUGAAGUUUCAUGAUCAUCAUCAUUAGCUUCCUCACUAAUUGGUGUAGGAAUCACUAGAACUGAUUUCUAUGAUGAACUACUUUCCAAUUCGGGAGAAGGUACAAUUACCUCAUCAAGUUCUACUUUCCUCCCACUCACUUCUUUCGAGAGAAACUCCUUCUCUAGAAAGGAUCCAUUCUUAGCAACGAAUAUCUUGCCUUCGGAUCUGUGAUAGAAAGUGUACCCAACCGUUCCCUUUGGGUAUCCUACAAAGACGCAUUUCUCCGAUUUGGGUUCGAGCUUAUCAGGUUGAAGCUUUUUCACAUAAGCAUCGCUGCCCCAAACUUUAAGAAACGACAGCUUAUAUGGUGUCGUCUCAACGGAUUUAGAUGGUGCCCUAUUUAACGUGAAUGCAGCUGUCUCUAAAGCAUAACCCCAAAACGAUAGCGGUAAAUCAGUAAGAGACAUCAUAGAUCGCACCAUAUCUAAUAAACUACGAUUACGACGUUCGGACACACCAUUACGCUGUGGUGUUCCAGGUGGCGUGUUGCGAAACUAUUCCACAUUGUUUCAAAUGAAGACCAAACUCAUAACUCAAAUAUUCACCUCCACGAUCAUAUCGUAGAAACUUUAUUCUCUUGUUACGAUGAUUUUCCACUUCACCCUGAAAUUCUUUGAACUUUUGAAAUAUUUCAAACUUAUGUUUCAUUAAGUAGAUAUACCAUAUCUGCUCAAAUCAUCUGUGAAGGUCAGAAAAUAACGAUACCCGACGCGAGCCUCAACACUCAUCGGACCGCAUACAUCAGUAUGUAUUAUUUCUAAUAAGUCAGUUGCUCGGUCCAUUGUUCCGGAGAACGGAGUCUUAGUCAUCUUGCCCAUGAGGCAUGGUUCACAAGCAUCAAGUGAUUCCAAAAGUACAUCAGCAUGGAGUUUCUUCAUGCGCUUUACACCAAUAUGACCUAAACGGCAGUGCCACAAAUAAGUUGCACUAUCAUUAUUAACUUUGCAUCUUUUGGCUUCAAUAUUAUGAAUAUGUGUAUCACUACAAUCGAGAUUCAAUAAAAAUAGACCACUCAUCAAGGGUGCAUGACCAUAAAAGAUACUAGAUGAUACCCCGCGCGUUGCUGCGAAAAUAGUAGUAUGAAAAAGGGAUAGAUUAGAGAAAUGAAAUAUAAAUAAUAUGAAUAUACUUGUUAACCAUGUGAUCUCUCAACUAAAGUAAAUAAUUUGAUGAGAUUAAACAAUGCACAACUAACUAGAAAAAUAGAAAUGUUUUCCCUUUUCCUUCUAAAAAUAUAAAUCUUAAAUAAACACAAAACACAAAUAAAAUAAUGCAAGUGCUUAGUAAUGAGCCUUCAUUGUUCUAAUCUUCACACCGACAAAAGAACAAUUCACAAAGAUGGAGCACACAUAAAUGGUGGUUCACAUUAUUAACCAACUAACCUGCACACUCGCGCAUAUAUUUCACGCAUUAUUGAAGAGCAAUGAACAAUAAUUCUCUGAACAUAAUUGCCACCAUCUUACAAUCGUCAGGGAAAUCCUCUUGAUGCAGGGUUAAGCAACUAACAUCAUAAAUCCAUCCCCUUAUCAGAAAGGCAUCACCACCUGAGACUCACGUCAUAGAACAAAUUACUCAAACCAGCAAGGAAUAAGAAAAUAACAAAAACACAACUAAAGAAAGAAACUUAUUAUCACGUGAGUAUAAGGACAUAGUAAGAUAUCAUCAUUUGUGUAUAUGCAUUUGAUCGAGAGAUGGUACCUCUUGGAAUAUAGCAAGACGACUAAAAUGUAUCUCGUCCUGCUGUAACCACAUCAGAAUUUUCCAAGUUUCUGACAUAUUGGAAGGUCCUAACUUAUUAUCCCAUCCAAUUACGCAAAUAUAGAUUUGUAUGCUUGGUAAAUAAGAAGACCGGAGAAGAAAAUAUAUCACUAAAAAUUCUAGAUGUAUAAAAACAGAGUAGCUCGGUGUUCAGAAACCUAUGUUAGAAUCGCAUCUUCCAACAUAUCAUUGUAGGCUCAUGAAUCAUAUGGUAUGGUCCCAUAAUGGCGGCAUAAAUUAUGCCCUUGGGGGUAUAAUGUUUUCAAUAAUAAAAUGUCAUUUCUGGGCAACACAUUUUUCCUAAUUUUAGUUACAUGAUGUCAUGUCAAGAUGGAAUGCACACUACACUGAUUCAGUUCAGCAACUUAUGCUUGAAGUUGUCAUACCAGAACCACUGCACAUGGGAGAAACAUACCCCAAUGGACUAAAUAGCCAAAGGAAGGAUACUGAAAUAACUAAAUUGCAUAGACUUAGAUCUGACCUCUCAGGCUAGGAAGCAAUGGCACGCAUCUAUGGCUGACCUAACUGCCACCCUCUGGCAGAUUCAACCAUCAUGCAGUAUCAGUCAUGGCCAAAAUUGAAACAGUGUCCGACUAUAAUUGUUGAACAACACAAAAGGAGAUGUGUAGACAUGGAAAAUAAGAUGUAUCUCCGUAACGUGGCUGGCAGGUUAGAAUUGUCCAUCGUUGAUAAGAGCAUUAACAACAAAAAUAACCUGCAUGUUCGAUUAUGGAAGUCAUACUAUCAACAGAUAUUUUUGCAUUUGUGCCAAGUAAUUUCUUCAGAUGUCUUCUUUAGCAAUGCAUGACAAUACAAUCUAUGCAAAAUUAGUACAUCAGAAAAUAAGAUGUAUUAGUGCAUGAUAAUACAAUCCUUCUAAGAAAAUGGAGGCACAGUACUUACCUUCAGUGGAUGGUAGCAUUGUCUUCCUCAAAGGGAUUUUGACGCAACCUGCUAGAGUAAAUCAAAACAGUAAGAGGUAAAUUUGCUACUUUAAGUUAUUUUUGUGAUCUAGGGUUUACCUUGUAAUACUCUUUGACUGGCAGUAUCUCUUCUCGUCGCAGCAGAUCAUGGAGCAGUUGUCGAAAACCACACGACGCUUUCCUUGUCCUGGCUGAUGCGUGUGGUGGUCAAUUAAGUUGAAGGUGAUGGUAGGACGGGGGAGCGAAGGCCACGAAAACCUAUAGCCGAGGAGAAGAAGAGGAUGGAUCGGGUGAUAUUCUGUAGCCGGGGAGAAGAAGAGGACGCAUCUAUGGUAGGACGGGGAGGAUAUUAAUUGUCAGAAAAAAUGGUGGGUAAGGCAGACAUGGGAGAGGAGGAGGCAAAUUAAGGUGCCGAUGCAUUCUCUCCAUUAAUGAAGAAUUGGACAAGGUGAAGAGGAAGAGGGGCAGUUGUGGAGAAGAAAGGACGCAGAGGAGGCGCUGCAAAAGCAAGCGAUGCGAUGCGGUACGGGCUUCCAACAUUGAAAGGCCGAACAACCCAUACAGGCUUCCAAACAUUGAAAGGCCGAGAAGCCGCUUCGUACAGCCCAACCGCUAGUACAGAGGUAGGGGAGACAUGCAAAAAAAAGUCCGGCAUCGAGGGAUAACGUGCGGGAUGGCACCAGGAAAAGAGGAUGAUGUGGUCUUGCGAGAGAGCAGAAAUAUAACAUAGUAAAUGACAUGGCACAUUGCUGAUGUAGACAGUGUGCAUGAUGAGAGAAUAGAAAUUAGUGGGGAGCAACUUCUUAAGAAUGGUAGAUUACUCAUAUAAAUAGAACAACCAUUAUUCUUUGAUUUAAAUGAAUAACCGUCUCGCAUCAAACAAGAUCGAGAUAUAAUGUUCAUGCUCAACGCUGGCACCAAAUAACAAUUAUUCAAGUCUAAAACUAAUCCCGACAGUACAUGCAGAGGUAGCGUGCCGACGGCGAUCACAUCGACUUUGGAACCAUUUCCCACGCGCAUCGUCACCUUGUCCUUAGCCAAUAUUUGUUUAAUCCGUAGCCCCUGUUUCGAGUUGCAAAUAUGAGCAACAGAACCAGUAUCAAAUACCGAGGUGCUACUGAUACGUCUCCAACGUGUCUAUAAUUUUUGAUUGUUCCAUGCUGUUAUACUAUCAACCUUGGAUGUUUUAUAAUCAUUUUAUAUCAUUUUUUGGUACCAACCUAUUGACAUAGUGCCAAGUGCCAGUUGCUGUUUUCUGCAUGUUUUUUACAUCGCAGGAAAUCAAUAUCAGUCGGAGUCCAAAUGCCAUGAAACUUUACGGAGAUUUUUUAUGGACCACGUAAUGGGCCCUGGCUGCGCCUGGGGGGUGCUCCGAGGAGAGCACAACCCACCAGGGCGCGCCCUGGUGGGUUGUGCCCACCUCGGGGUGCCCCCAGACCGCCUCUUUGCUCUAUAAAUACCCCAAUAUUCCAGAAACCCUAGGGGAGUUGACGAAAUAUUGAUCCAGCCGCCGCAGAGUCCAGAACCACCAGAUCCAAUCUAGACACCAUCUCGGAUGGGGUUCACCACCUCCAUUGGUGCCUCUCCGAUGAUGCAUGAGUAGUUCUUUGUAGACCUUCGGGCCCGUAGUUAUUAGCUAGAUGGCUUCCUCUCUCUCGCUGAAUUCUCAAUACAAUGGUCUCUUGGAGAUCCAUAUGAUCUAACUCUUUUUGUGGUGUGUUUGUUGGGAUCUGAUGAACUUUGAGUUUAUGAUCAGUUAUAUCUUUUUAUAUCCAUGAAAGUAUUUGAGUUUCUUUGAUCUCUUUUAUGCAUGAUUGCUUAUAGCCUCGUAUUUCUUCUCCGAUAUUUGGGUUCUGUUUGGCCAACUUGAUCUAUUUAUCUUGCAAUGGGAAGAGGUGCUUCGUAGUGGGUUCGAUCUUACGGUGCUUGAUCCCAGUGACAAAAGGGGAACUGACACGUAUGUAUCGUUGCUACUAAGGAUAAAACAAUGGGGUCUAUCUCUACAUAGAUAGAUCUUGUCUACAUCAUGUCAUCGUUCUUAUUGCAUUACUCCGUUUUUCCAUGAACUUAAUACAGUAGAUGCAUGCUGGAUAGCGGUCGAUGUGUGGAGUAAUAGUAGUAGAUGCAGGCAGGAGUCGGUCUACUAAUCUUGGACUUGAUGCCUAUAUAAUGAUCAUUGCUUGGAUAUCGUCAUGAUUAUUUGAAGUUCUAUCAAUUGCCCAACAGUAAUUUGUUCACCCACCGUUUGCUAUUUUUUCUCGAGAGAAGCCACUAGUGAAACCUACGGCCCCCGGGUCUCUUUCUCACAUAUUUGCCUUUGCGAUCUACUUUUCCUUUGCAUUUAUUUUCAGAUCUAUUAAACUAAAAAUACAAAAAUACCUUGCUGCAAUUUAUUCUUAUUUAUUUUAUUUGGCGUUCUAUCUAUCAAUCUACUACAAUUUUCUCACAUCCGUUUGCCCAUCUUGGGGCGCCGCUACCCGAAAGGGAUUGACAACCCCUUUUACACGUCGUGUUGCGAGGAUUUGUUAUCUGUGUGCGGGUGCUGUUUACGUUGUGUUGCUUGGUUCUCCUACUGGUUCGAUAACCUUGGUUUCUUCACUGAGGGAAAUACCUACCGCCAUUGUGCUGCAUCAUCCUUUCCUCUUUGGGGAAAUACCACGUAGCUUCAAGCCGCAUCAAAAGGAAUUUCUGGCGCCGUUGCCCGAGAGGAUCACGCCAAGAUAGUCUCCUGUCAACUCGCCAAUUUCUGGCGCCGUUGCCGGGGAGGAUCUUGAACAUAUACCAGGUUCCUAAUCACAAAUCUCAUCUCCUCGCAAUUUACAUUAUUUGCCAUUUGCCUCUUAUUUUCCUCUCCCCCACUUCACAAAAAUUUGCCAUUUUAUUCGCCUCUCUUUUUCCGUUCGCCGUUUUCUCGUCAGAUCUAUUCUUUGCUUGCAAUCAUGAGUGAUUUCAGUAUGGCACCAACAGAUGAUGGCCUAACUCCUAAGAUAGGACAUACAGGCAAUCUGGAUGCUAAAACUUUUAUCUUGGGGCAAGGGAACAUUAUAGGAAAAGAACGUAUCCAAGAGUUUUUCAAUUGUGUUGGAAAUCUGAGUCUGGAUGAUGCUCCUAUACUUAAAACUACUAGAUCUUAUGCGGAUGCUAUUUCAGCACUAGUCUUGAAACUUGAAAGUAAAUUUAUUCGUACUCACCCUACUUUGCAAAGAUUGUUUUUUGAGCUUCCCGAAAUAAAGAAUCCUAGGGCUAAAAAGUUGGCCACUCUCGUUCUUAUGAAUGAGUUUGACUACAUAACACGGGAAGCUAGGGAAAUCUUUGAUUUUUAUGGUACGAAUUGUGAAAACCCCGUGAUAGACGAAAUUCUUUACAAUAGUGACUAUGCACUAAGGCAUUUGCUUGGGGAUAAUAAAAUCUUUGAUGAUAAUCUUAAAAAGGAAGUCCCCGUUCUAGAUAUAAUCCAACAAGUUUCAAUAAUGUUAAUCAACAUUACUCUUGGAUUGUUGUGGGAAAUCAAAGGGGUUAUGAUGAAAACCAACUUAGGAAUGCUGAAGUUUCCAUGGAUAAUAUGUUUUAUGUUGUGUUUACAAAACUCCAUGAUGAAAACACUUCAAAGAAAAUUAAGAAGAGGGAUGACAAAACUUAGAUCCUUGCUUUAUGCCUAGCUAAGGGCGUAAAACUAUAACGCUUGUUUGGAGGUAACCCAAUGAAUAAAAUUUAUUUGAUUUUUGCUUUCUGUUCUUGGGUGUUUGCACAAUUAUGCUACUUCUAUGAUUGUGUUUUUUGUGUUUUAAUUAGUGUUUGUGCCAAGUAAAGCCUUUAGGAUCUUCUUGGGUGAUAGUUGUUUGAUCUUGCUGAAAAACAGAAACUUAUGCACUCAUAAAAUAAUUUUCAUAAAUCACAGAAAAGUGCUUUUGCACUGAUUCUUUUUGCAGAAGAUUAAUAUACAAAUUACCCUGGUCUUCCUAAUUUUUUAGAAUUUUUGGAGUUACAGAAGUAUUCAAAAUAGUCAUAUUUCUAUAGACUGUUCUGUUUUGACAGAUUCUGUUUUCUUUGCGUUGUGUGCUUGUUUUGAUGGCUCUAUGGUUUUCUUUGAUGAGUUUUUGCCAUAGAAAAGUUGGAAUACAGUAGAUAUAAUGCAAAAAAUAAAAUAUGAAUUGGUUUGAUACAAUACUUAUAGUAGUGGUUUGCUUUCUUAUACUAACGGAUCUCAUGAAGGUUUUGUUGAGUUUUGUGUGAUUGAAGUUUUCAAGUUUUGGGUUAUCUUAUGAUGGAUGAAGGAAGGAUCGAAGAGCCUAAGCUUGGGGACGCCCCGGCAUCCCAAGCUAUUAUCCAAAAAUGAGCAACCAACUAAGCUUGGGGAUGCCCCGAGUGGCAUCCCCUCUUUCUUCUAACGACCAUCGGUAUUUUACUCGAAGCUAUAUUUUUAUUCGUCACAUACUAUGUGUUUUGCUUGGAGCGUCUUGUAUGAUAUGCGUCUUUGCUUGUUUUAUUUUGUGUUUUAAGUCUUGAUCCCUUGCUGGACACACCUAUUUGAGAGAUCCAAAAUUAUGUCAUGACUUGUUAGAAUUGCUCUCUAUGCUUCACUUAAAUUUUUACGAGCUGUGGACUUGCUCUAGUGCUGCACAUAUAUAUUUUUGAGCAUGGUGUGCUUUAGUAUUUUUGAAGAAAUGCUCUCUUGCUUCACUUAGAUUUAUUUGAGAGUUAGUAAAAUUUUCAAGAAAUUCUCUCUUGCUUCACUUAAAUUAUUUUGAGAGAAAGAAAAAAAUUAUGCUCAUGAUCUUCACUUAUAUUUGUUUGAGCUUAAGCAAAGCAACACAUGAAAAUUAGUCCCAAAGUGAUAGAUAUCCAAGAAGGAUAUAAUAAAAACUUUCAUGAAGAUCAUUGGACAAAAUAAACUUGAUUCUUAGUAAUAGUUUUGAGAUAUGAUGAUGUGAUAUGUGAGUUGUGUUGAUGAGUAAUUAUGCUUUAGUAAGAAUAUUGGUGUUAAGGUUUGUGAUUCCCUUUGCAAGCACGAAAGUCAAUAGUCGUGCAAUGAAAUUAUAUCCUACUUGUGGUGCAUUACUCGGUGUUAAUUAUGCUUAAUGCUUGCUUAUGAGAUUAUUCGUUUCUUGGUUGGCCGCUUCUCAAUCUUUUGCUAGCCUUCAUUUUGCACUAAGUAUGAUCUCUACUUGUGCAUCCAAAAUCCUUUAAACCAGUUUUGCCACAUGAGUCCAGCAUAUCUACCUAUAUGUGGUAUUGUUUUGCCGUUCUAAGAAAAUUUGCAUGUGCCAUCUCUAAUUUUCAAAAUAAACUUCUCUUUUGUGUGUUUGUUUCGCUCGCGGUGCGGUGAGGGGUGGCUAAUAUGUUCCAUGCUGGAUGUGUUAUUCUCAUGAUGAGUGUUUAUUGACUUGUCAUUGCACGAGAGUAAGGCAAAGGUUUUAGGGAUGCCCAGUCCCGAAAUGAAAAAAAUGAAUUUACUUUAUGUUGUCAAAUAAUAAAUUCCUUGGAAAGUGUUGGUAUGGAGGGCAACCGUGGAUACGGCUAGCCAUGGAAAGUGAAAGUAUGGUGGAAAAAGGAAUAAACUUUAUUUUCUGUUUGGGAACCGCCUAUGAUAUAUCUAGCAUGGAAAGUGUUGGGAGCUCUAAGUCGUUUUCGUUGGUGGGAUGGAUGCACCUCCCAAAAUGUUUUUAUCUCUAAGUUUUUCGCUUUGAGCUCUGGCACCUCUACAAAUCCCUACUUCCCUGUGCGAAGGGCCUUUAUUUUACUUUAUGCAAUUUUUUAUUUUGAAUUUGAGUCUCCAUCUUCUCUUAUAAAAGCACUAACUAGGAGGCAAUAUGAUCGUACUUGAGUAUUGGGUGUAGCUAAUAUGCGAGUGUGUUUUAUGAAUGGAUCAAUGGUUGAGCAUGAUGGGCUAGGGAUAACUUAUUUUAGCGUUGAUAUUUUGAAAGACAUGGUUGCUUGUUGAUAUGCUUGAGUAUUUAAAUUAUCAUGUCAAAACUAGACUAUUGCUUUGAAUCACAUAAAAGUCCAAAUGUCCAUGCUAUAAAGAAAAGAAUAUGAUAUGACAUGUUAGGCAGCAUUCCACAUCAAAAUUCUGUUUUUAUCAGCUACCUACUCGAGGACGAGUAGGAGUUAAGCUUGGGGAUGCUGAUACGUCUCCAACGUAUCUAUAAUUUUUGAUUGUUCCAUGCUGUUAUACUAUCAGUCUUGGAUGUUUUACAAUAAUUUUAUAGUCAUUUUUUGGUACUAACCUAUUGACAUAGUACCAAGUGCCAGUUGCUGUUUUCUGCAUGUUUUUUACAUCGCAGGAAAUCAAUAUCACACGGAGUCCAAAUGCCACAAAACUUUACAGAGAUUUUUUAUGGACCAGAAGACACGUAAUGGGCCCUGGCUGUGCCUAGGGGGUGCUCCGAGGAGAGCACAACCCACCAGGGCGCGCCAGGAGGCCCAGGCACGCCCUGGUGGGUUGUGCCCACCUCGGGUGCCCCCCGGACCACCUCUUUGCUCUAUAAAUACCCCAAUAUUCCAGAAACCCUAGGGGAGUCAACGAAAUAUUGAUCCAGCCGCCGCAGAGUCCAGAACCACCAGAUCCAAUCUAGACACCAUCUCAGAUGGGGUUCACCACCUCCAUUGGUGCCUUUCCGAUGAUGCGUGAGUAGUUCUUUGUAAACCUUCGGGUCCAUAGUUAGUAGCUAGAUGGCUUCCUCUCUCUUGCUGAAUUCUCAAUACAAUGGUCUCUUGGGGAUCCAUAUGAUGUAACUCUUUUUGCGGUGUGUUUGUUGGGAUUUGAUGAACUUUGAGUUUAUGAUCAGUUAUAUCUUUUUAUAUCCAUGAAAGUAUUUGAGUUUCUUUGAUCUCUUUUAUGCAUGAUUGCUUAUAGCCUCGUAUUUCUUCUCCGAUAUUUGGGUUUUGUUUGGCCAACUUGAUCUAUUUAUCUUGCAAUGGGAAGAGGUGCUUUGUAGUGGGUUCGAUCUUACGGUGCUUGAUCCCAGCGACAGAAGGGGAACCGACGCGUAUGUAUCGUUGCUACUAAGGAUAAAACGAUGGGGUCUAUAUCUAUAUAGAUAAAUCUUGUCUACACCAUGUCAUCGUUCUUAUUGCAUUACUCCGUUUUUCCAUGAACUUAAUACACUAUAUGCAUGCUGGAUAGUGGUCGAUGUGUGGAGUAAUAGUAGUAGAUGCAGGCAGGAGUCGGUCUACUAAUCUUGGACGUGAUGCCUAUAUAUCAUUGCCUGGAUAUCAUCAUGAUUAUUUGAAGUUCUAUCAAUUUCCCAACAGUAACUUGUUCACCCACUGCUUGCUAUUUUUCUCGAGAGAAGCCACUAGUGAAACCUACGGCCCCCGGGUCUCUUUCUCAUAUAUUUGCCUUUGCAAUCUACUUUUCCUUUGCAUUUAUUUUCAGAUCUAUAAAACUAAAAAUACAAAAAUACCUUGCUGCAAUUUAUUCUUAUUUAUUUUAUUUGGCGUUCGAUCUAUCAAUCUACUACAAUUUCCUCACGUCCGUUUGCCCAUCUUGGGGCGCCGCUACCCGAAAGGGAUUGACAACCCCUUUUACAUGUUGGGUUUCGAGGAUUUGUUAUCUUUGUGCAGGGGCUGUUUAUGUUGUGUUGCUUGGUUCUCCUACUGGUUCGAUAACCUUGGUUACCUACCGCCGCUGUGCUGCAUCAUCCCUUCCUCUUUGGGGAAAUACCGACGUAGCUUCAAGCCGCAUCAGCUACUACGAGCAUUAGUAAGGUACACAUCAAUAACAUUUAUAUCAAAUAUACCUUUCACUUUGCCAUCCUUCUUAUCCGCCAAAUACUUGGGGCAGUUCCGCUUCCAGUGACGAGUCCCUUUGCAGUAGAAGCACUCAGUUUCAGGCUUAGGUCCAGACUUGGGCUUCUUCUCGGGAGUAGCAACUUUCUUGCUAUUUCUUGAAGUUCCCCUUCUUCCCUUUACCCUUUUUCUUUAAACUAGUGGUCUUGUUAACAAUCAACACUUGAUGCUCCUUCUUGAUUUCUACCUCCGCAGCCUUUAGCAUCGCGAAGAGCUCGGGAAUUGUCUUUUCCAUCCCUUGCAUAUUACAAUUCAUCAUGAAGCCUUUAUAGCUUGGUGGCAGUGAUUCAAGAACUCUGUCAAUGACACUAUCAUCAGGAAGAUUAACUCCCAACUGAGUCAAGUGGUUAUGGUACCCAGACAUUCUGAGUAUGUGUUCACUGACAUAACUGUUCUCCUCCAUUUUGCAGCUAUAGAACUUGUUGGAGACUUCAUAUCUCUCAACUCGGGAAUUUGCUUGAAAUAUUAACUUCAACUCCUGGAACAUCUCAUAUGCUCCAUGACGUUCAAAACGUCUUUGAAGUCCCAAUUCUAAGCUGUAAAGCAUAGUCAUCAGCUUUGCUCUGCCAGACAUUCAUAACGUCCGGAGUUGCUCCUACAGCGGGUCUUGCACCUAGCGGUGCUUCCAGGACGUAAUUCUUAUGUGCAGCAAUGAGGAUAAUCCUCAAGAUACGGACACAGUCCGUGUAGUUGCUACCAUCAUCUUUCAACUUAGCUUUCUCUAGGAACGCAUUAAAAUUCAACGGAAUGGUAGCACGGCCAUUGAUCUACAACAACAUAGAUAUGCAAAAACUAUCAGGACUAAGUUCAUGAUAAAUUAAAGUUCAAUUAAUCAUAUUACUUAAGAACUCCCACUUAGAUAUACACCCCUCUAGUCAUCUAAAUGAUCAUGUGAUCCAUAUCAACUAAACCAUGUCCGAUCAUCAUGUGAGAUGGAGUAGUUUUCAAUGGUGAACAUCUCUAUGUUGAUCAUAUCUACUAUAUGAUUGACGUUCGACCUUUCGGUCUCAGUGUUCCGAGGCCAUAUCUUCAUAUGCUAGGCUCGUCAAGUUUAACCCGAGUAUUCUGCACGUGCAAAACUAGCUUGCACCCGUUGUAUGUGAACGUAGAGCUUAUCACACCCGAUCAUCACGUGGUGUCUCGGCACGACGAACUGUAGCAACGGUGCAUACUGAGGGAGAACAAUUAUACCUUGAAAUUUAGUGAGGGAUCAUCUUAUAAUGCUACCGCCAUACUAAGCAAAAUAAGAUGCAUAAAAGAUAAACAUCACAUGCAAUCAAAAUAUGUGACAUGAUAUGGCCAUCAUCAUCUUGUGCCUUUGAUCUCCAUCUCCAAAGCACCGUCAUGAUCUUCAUCGUCACCGGCUUGACACCUUGAUAUCCAUCGCAGCGUCAUUGUCGUCUCGCCAACUACUGCUUCUACAACUAUCACUGCCGCAUAGUGAUAAAGUAAAGCAAUUACAUGGCGAUUGCAUUUCAUAUAAUAAAGCGACAACCAUAAGGCUCCUGCCAGUUGCCGUUAACUUUUACAAAACAUGAUCAUCUCAUACAAUAACUUAUAUCACAUCAUGUCUUGACCAUAUGCCAUCACAACAUGACCUGCAAAAACAAGUUAGACGUCCUCUACUUUGUUGUUGCAAGUUUUACGUGGCUGCUACGGGCUUCUAGCAAGACCCGUUCUUACCUACGCAUCAAAACCACAUCGAUUUUUCGUCAAGUGUGCUGUUUUAACCUUCCAUAAGGACCGGCCGUAGUCAAACUCGAUUCAACUAAAGUUGGAGAAACAGACACCUGCCAGCCACCUGUGUGCAAAGCACGUCGGUGGAACCAGUCUCAUGAACGCGGUCAUGUAAUGUCGGUCCGAGCCGCUUCAUCCAACAAUACCGCCGAAUCAAAGUAAGACGUUGGUGGUAAGCAGUAUGACUAUUAUCGCCCACAAGUCUUUGUGUUCUACUCGUGCAUAUCAUCUACGCAUAGACCUGGCUCGGAUGCCACUGUUGGGGAAAGUAGCAUGCAAUUUCAAAAAAUUUCCUACGAUCACGCUGUUGGGGAACGUAGCAGAAAUUCAAAAUUUUCUACGCAUCACCAAGAUCAAUCUAUGGAGUAAUCUAGCAACGAGGGAAAGGGGAGUGCAUCUACAUACCCUUGUAGAUCGCGAUGCGAAAGCGUUGCAAGAACGCGGAUGAAGGAGUCAUACUCGUAGCGAUUCAGAUCGCGGUUGAUUCCGAUCUAAGCGCCGAACCACGGCGCCUCCGCGUUCAACACACGUGCAGCCCGGUGACGUCUCCCACGCCUUGAUCCAGCAAGGAGAGAGGGAGAGGUUGGGGAAGACUCCAUCCAGCAGCAGCACGACGGCGUGGUGGUGAUGGAGGAGCGCGGUACUCCAGCAGGGCUUCGCCAAGCACUACGAGAGACGAGGAGGGAGAGGGGUAGGGCUGCGCCAAAGAGAGAAAUCAUCUCGUGUGUUUGCAGCCCCAAAUACCUCAAGUAUAUAUAGGGGAAGGGGAGGGGAUGCGCCCCCAUCUAGGGUUCCCUCCCCAGGGGUGGCGGCAGCCCCCAAAACCCAUCUAGGGUGCGGCCAAGGGGAAAAGAGAGGGGGGCGCCACUAGGGUGGGCCUUAAGGCCCAUCUGGACCUAGGGUUUGCCCCCUCCCACUCUCCCUGCGCCUUGGGACUUGGUGGGGGGGCGCACCAGCCCACCUGGAGCUGGUCCCCUCCCACACUUGGCCCACGCAGCCUUCUGGGGCUGGUGGCCCCACCUGGUGGACCCCUGGGACCCUCCCGGUGGUCCCGGUACAUUACCGAUAGCACCCGAAACUUUUCAGGUGACCAAAACAGGACUUCCCAUAUAUAAAUCUUUACCUCCGGACCAUUCCGGAACUCCUCUUGACGUCCGGGAUCUCAUCCGGGACUCCGAACAACAUUCGGUAACCACGUAUAUCUAUUCCCUAUAACCCUAGCGUCAUCGAACCUUAAGUGUGUAGACCCUACGGGUUCGGGAACCAUGCAGACAUGACCGAGACGUUCUCCGGCCAAUAACCAACAGCGGGAUCUGGAUACCCAUGUUGGCUCCCACAUGUUCCACGAUGAUCUCAUCGGAUGAACCACGAAGUCGGGGAUUCAAUCAAUCCCGUAUUCAAUUCCCUUUGUCUAUCGGUAUGCUACUUGCCCGAGAUUCGAUCGUCGGUAUCCCGAUACCUUGUUCAAUCUCGUUACCGGCAAGUCUCUUUACUCGUUCCGUAACACAUCAUCCCGUGAUCAACUCCUUGGUCACAUUGUGCACAUUAUGAUGAUGUCCUACCGAGUGGGCCCAGAGAUACCUCUCCAUUUACACGGAGUGACAAAUCCUAGUCUCGAUUCGUGCCAACCCAACAGACACUUUCGGAGAUACCUGUAGUGCACCUUUAUAGCCACCCAGUUACGUUGUGAUGUUUGGUACACCCAAAGCAUUCCUACGGUAUCCGGGAGUUGCACAAUCUCAUGGUCUAAGGAAACGAUACUUGACAUUAGAAAAGCUCUUAGCAAACGAACUACACGAUCUUGUGCUAGGCUUAGGAUUGGGUCUUGUCCAUCACAUCAUUCUCCUAAUGAUGUGAUCCCGUUAUCAACGACAUCCAAUGUCCAUGGUCAGGAAACCGUAACCAUCUAUUGAUCAACGAGCUAGUCAACUAGAGGCUUACUAGGGACAUGGUGUUGUCUAUGUAUCCACACAUGUAUAUGAGUUUCCUAUCAAUACAAUUCUAGCAUGGAUAAUAAACGAUUAUCAUGAACAAGGAAAUAUAAUAAUAACCAAUUUAUUAUUGCCUCUAGGGCAUAUUUCCAACAGUCUCCCACUUGCACUAGAGUCAAUAAUCUAGUUCACAUCACCAUGUGAUUAACACUCACAGGUCACAUCACCAUGUGACCAACAUCUAAAGAGUUUACUAGAGUCAACAAUCUAGUUCACAUCACUAUGUGAUUAGCACUCAAUGAGUUCUGGUUUGAUCAUGUUAUGCUUGUGAGAGAGGUUAUUAGUCAACGGGUCUGAACCUUUCAGAUCCGUGUGUGCUUUACGAAUAUCUAUGUCAUCUUGUGGAUACUACCACGCGCUACUUGGAGCCAUUUCAAAUAACUGCUCUACUAUACGAAUCCGGUUUACUACUCAGAGUCAUCCGGAUUAGUGUCAAACUUCGCAUCGACGUAACCCUUUACGACGAACUCCUUUUCACCUCCAUAAUCGAGAAAAUUCCUUAGUCCACUAGAUACUAAGGAUAAGUUCGACCGCUGUCAUGUGAUCCAUUCCCGGAUCACUAUUGUACCCCUUGACCAACUCAUGGCAAGACACACUUCAUGUGCGGUACACAGCAUAGCAUACUGUAGAGCCUACGCCUAAAGCAUAGGGGACGACCUUCGUCCUUUCUCUCUCUUCUGCUGUGGUCAGGUCUUGAGUCUUACUCAAUACUCACACCUUGUAACACAGCCAAGAACUCCUUCUUUGCUGAUCUAUUUUGAACUCUUUCAAAAUCAUGUCAAGGUGUGCGUUCUUUGAAAGUAUCAUCAGGCGUCUUGAUCUAUCUCUAUAGAUCUUGAUGCCCAAUAUGUAAGCAGCUUUAUCCAGGUCUUCCUUUGAAAAACUCCUUUCAAACAACCCUUUAUGCUUUCCAGAAAUUUUACAUCAUUUCGGAUCAACAAUAUGUCAUUCACAUAUACUUAUCAGAAAUGUUGUAGCGCUCCCACUCACUUUAUUGUAAAUACAAGUUUCUAACAAACUUUGUAUAAACCCAAAAACUUUGAUCACUCCAUCAAAGCGUAUAUUCUGACUCCGAGAUGCUUGCUCUAGUCCAUGGAAGGAUCGCUGGAGCUAGCAUACCUUUUAGCAUCCUUAGGAUCGACAAAACCUUUCUGAUUGUAUCACAUACAACCUUUCCUUACGUAAACUGGUAAGGAAACUUGUUUUGACAUCCAUCUGCCAGAUUUCAUAAAUGCAGCUAAUGCUAACAUGAUUCCGACGGACUUAAGCAUCGCUACGGAUGAGAAAAUCUCAUCGUAGUCAACUCCUUGAACUUGUGAAAAUACUCUUUGCCACAAGUCGAGCUUCAUAGACGGUAACAUUACCGUCCAUGUCCGUCUUCUUCUUAAAGAUCCAUUUAUCUCAAUGGCUUGCCGAUCAUCGGGCAAGUUCACCAAAGUCCAUGCUUUGUUCUGAUACAUGGAUCCUAUCUCGGAUUUCAUGGCUUCUAACCAUUUGUCGGAAUAUGGGCCCACCAUCGCUUCUCCAUAGCUCGUAUUGUCUAACAACAUGAUAUCUAAGACAGGAUUACCGUACCACUCAGGAGUAGUACAUAUCCUUGUCGACCUACGAGGUUUGGUAGUGACUUGAUCCGAAGUUUCAUGAUCAUUAUCAUAAGCUUCCACUUCAAUUGGUGUAGGUGCCACAGGAACAACUUCCUGUGCCCCUGCUACACACUAGUUGAAGUCAUGGUUCAAUAACCUCAUCAAGUCUCCACCAUCCUCCCACUCAAUUCUUUCGAGAGAAACUUUUCCUCGAGAAAGGACCUGUUUCUAGAAGCAAUUACUUUUGCUUCCAGAUCUGAAAUAGGAGGUAUACCCAACUUUUUGGGUAUUCUAUGAAGAUGCAUUUAUCCGCUUUGGGUUCGAGCUUAUUAGCCUGAAACUUUUUCACAUAAGCAUCGCAGCCCCAAACUUUUAAGAAACGACAACUUAGGUUUCUCUAAACGGUGUCGUCUCAACGGAAUUGCGUGGUGCCCCUUUUAAAGUGAAUGCGGUUAUCUCUAAUGCCUAACCCAUAAACGAUAGUGGUAAUUCGAUAAGAGACAUCAUUGUAUGCACCAUAUCCAAUAGGGUGCAGUUAUGAUGUUCGAACACACCAUCACACUGUGGUGUUCCAGGCGGUAUUAAUUGUGAAACACUUUCCACAAUGUCUUAAUUGUGUGCCAAACUCGUAACUCAGAUACUCAUCUCUAUGAUCAUAUCACAGACAUUUUAUCCUCUUGUCACGACGAUCUUCAACUUCACUCUGAAAUUACUUGAACCUUUCACUAAUUCAGACUUGUGUUUCAUCAAGUAAAUAUUCUCAGCAUCUACUCAAAUCAUCUGUGAACUAAGAACAUAUCGAUAUCCACUGCGUGCCUCAGCAUUCAUUGGACUGUACACAUCAAAUGUAUUACUUCCAACAAGUUGCUCUCUUGUUCCAUCUUACUGAAAACGAGGCCUUUCAGUCAUCUUGCCCAUGUGGUAUGAUUUGCAUGUCUCAAGUGAUUCAAAAUCAAGUUAGUCCAAACGAUCCAUCUGCAUGGAGUUUCUUCAUGCAUAUAUACCAAUAGACAUGGUUCGCAUGUCUCAAUCUUUUCAAAAAUGAGUGAGUCCAAAGAUCCAUCUACAUGGAGCUUCUUCAUGCGUUUUAUCCCAAUAUGACUCAAAUAGCAGUGCCACAAGUAUGUGGUACUAUCAUUACUUCUGGCAUGAACAUGUGUAUCACUACGAUCGAGAUUCAAUAAACCAUUUAUUUUAGGUGCAAGACCAUUGAAGGUAUUAUUCAAAUAAAAAGAGUAACCAUUAUUCUCCUUAAAUGAAUGACCGUAUUGCGAUAAACAUAAUCCAAUCAUGUUUAUGCUCAACACAAACACCAAUCUCGAUGGUGGAGGGAGCAUGCGAUGCCUGAUCACAUCAACCUUGGAAACACUUCCAACACACAUCGUCAUCUCACCUUUAGCUAGUCUCCAUUUAUUCCGCAGCUUUUGUUUCGAGUUACUUACACUUAGCAACCGAACCGGUAUCUAAUACCCUGGUGCUGCUAGGAGUACUAGUAAAGUACACAUGUAUAUCCAAUAUACUUCUGUCGACUUUGCCUGCCUUCUCAUCUACCAAGUAUCUAGGGUAAUACUGCUUCAGUGACCGUUCCCCUCAUUACAGGAGCACUUAGUCUCGGGUUUGGGUUUAACCUUGGGAUUCUUCACUAGAGCAGCAAAUGAUUUGCUGUUUCAUGAAGUAUCCCUUUUGCCCUUGCCCUUCUAGAAACUAGUGGUUUUACCAACCAUCAACAAUUGAUGCUCCUCCUUGAUUUCUACUUUCGCAGUGUCAAACAUCGUGAGUUGCCCAAGGAUCAUCAUAUCUAUCCCUGAUAUGUUAUAUUUCAUCACGAAGAUCUAAUAGCUUGGUGGUAGUGACUAUGGAGAACCAUCACUAUCUCAUCUGGAAGAUUAACUCCCACUCGAUUCAAGCGAUUGUGGUACUCAGACAAUCUGAGCACAUGCUCAACGAUUGAGCUUUUCUCCCUUAGUUUGCAGGCUUAAGAAACUUGUCAAAGGUCUCAUACCUCUUGACGUGGGCACUAGUCUGAAAUCCCAAUUUCAGUGUUCGGAACAUCCCAUAUGUUCUGCGACGUUUCAAAACGUCUUUGGUGCCACAAUUCUAAACCGUUAGCAUUACGCACUGAACUAUCACGUAGUCAUCAAAGCGUGUAUGUCAGAUGUUUCACAACAUCUACAGACGACGCUGAGGUUCAGCACACCGAGCGGUGCAUUAAGGAAAUAAGCCUUCUGUGCAUCAAUGAGGACAAUCCUCAGUUUACGGACCCAGUCCGCAUAGUUGCUACUAUCAACUUUCAACUAAAUUUUAUCUAGGAACAUAUCUUAAACAGUAGAACUAAAGCGCAAGCUAUGACAUAAUUUGCAAAGACCUUUUGACUAUGUUCAUGAUAAUUAAGUUCAUCUGAUUAAUGAACUCCCACUCAGAUAGACAUCCCUCUAGUCAUCUAAGUGAUACAUGAUCCGAGUCAAACUAGGCCGUGUCCGAUCAUCACGUGAGACGGACUAGUCAUCAUCGGUGAACAUCUCCAUGUUGAUCGUAUCUACUAUACGACUCAUGUUCGACCUUUCGGUCUCUUGUGUUCCCUGGCCAUGUCUGUACAUGCUAGGCUCGUCAAGUCGACCUAAGUGUUUCGCAUGUGUUCCGAGGCCAUGUCUGUACAUGCUAGGCUCGUCAACACCCGUUGUAUUCGAACGUUAGAAUCUAUCACACCCGAUCAUCACGUGGUGCUUCGAAACAACGAACCUUCGCAACGGUGCACAGUUAGGGGGAACACUUUCUUGAAAUUAUUAUAAGGGAUCAUCUUACUUACUACCGUCGUUCUAAGCAAAUAAGAUGAAAAACAUGAUAAACAUCACAUGCAAUCAAAUAGUGACAUGAUAUGGCCAAUAUCAUUUUGCUCCUUUGAUCUCCAUCUUCGGGGCACCAUGAUCAUCUUCGUCAUCGGCAUGACACCAUGAUCUCCAUCAUCAUGAUCUCCAUCAUUGUGUCUUCAUGAAGUUGUCACGCCAACGAUUACUUCUACUUCUAUGGCUAACGCGUUUAGCAAUAAAGUAAAGUAAUUUACAUGGCGUUAUUCAAUGACACGCAGGUCAUACAAAAAAUAAAGACAACUCCUAUGGCUCCUGCCGGUUGUCAUACUCAUCGACAUGCAAGUCGUGAUUCCUAUUACAAGAAUAUGAUCAAUCUCAUACAUCACAUAUAUCAUUCAUCACAUCUUCUGGCCAUAUCACAUCACAUAACACAUGCUGCAAAAACAAGUUAGACGUCCUCUAAUUGUUGUUGCAAGUUUUUUACGUCGCUUGUAUAGGUUUCUAGCAAGAAUGUUUCUUACCUACGUAAAACCACAACGUGAUAUGCCAAUUUCUAUUUACCCUUCAUAAGGACCCUUUUCAUCGAAUCCGUUCCGACUAAAGUGGGAGAGACAGACACCCGCUAGCCACCUUAUGCAACUAGUGCAUGUCAGUCGGUGGAACCUGUCUCACGUAAGUGUACGUGUAAGGUCGGUCCGGGCCGCUUCAUCCCACAAUACCGCCGAAACAAGAUAAGACUAGUAGCGGCAACAAGAAUUGGCAACAUCUACACCCACAACUACUUUGUGUUCUACUCGUGCAUAGUAACUACGGGUAGGCCUGGCUCAUGAUGCCACUGUUGGGGAACUUAGCAGAAAUUCAAAAUUUUCUACGCAUCACCAAGAUCAAUCUAUGGAGUAAUCUAGCAACGAGGGAAAGGGGAGUGCAUCUACAUACCCUUGUAGAUCGCGAUGCGGAAGCGUUGCAAGAACGCGGAUGAAGGAUUCGUACUCGUAGCGAUUCAGAUCGCGGUUGAUUCCGAUCUAAGCGCCGAACCACGGCGCCUCCGCGUUCAACACACGUGCAGCCCGGUGACGUCUCCCACGCCUUGAUCCAGCAAGGAGAGAGGGAGAGGUUGGGGAAGACUCCGUCCAGCAGCAGCACGACGGCGUGGUGGUGAUGGAGGAGCGCGGUACUCCAGCAGGGCUUCGCCAAGCACUACGAGAGGCUAGGAGGGAGAGGGGUAGGGCUGCGCCAAAGAGAGAAAUCAUCUCGUGUGUUUGCAGCCCCAAAUACCUCAAGUAUAUAUAGGGGAAGGGGAGGGGCUGCGCCCCCAUCUAGGGUUCCCUCCCCAGGGGUGGCGGCAGCCCCCAAAACCCAUCUAGGGUUCGGCCAAGGGGAAAAGAGAGGGGGGCGCCACUAGGGUGGGCCUUAAGGCCCAUCUGGACCUAGGGUUUGCCCCCUCCCACUCUCCCUGCGCCUUGGGCCUUGGUGGGGGGGCGCACCAGCCCACCUGGAGCUGGUCCCCUCCCACACUUGGCCCACGCAGCCUUCUGGGGCUGGUGGCCCCACCUGGUGGACCCCCGGGACCUUCCCAGUGGUCCCGGUACAUUACCGAUAGCACCCGAAACUUUUCCGGUGACCAAAACAGGACUUCCCAUAUAUAAAUCUUUACCUCCGGACCAUUCCGGAACUCAUCGUGACAUCCGGGAUCUCAUCCGGGACUCCGAACAACAUUCGGUAACCACGUAUAUCUAUUCCCUAUAACCCUAGCGUCAUCGAACCUUAAGUGUGUAGACCCUACGGGUUCGGGAACCAUGCAGACAUGACCGAGACGUUCUCCGGCCAAUAACCAACAACGGGAUCUGGAUACCCAUGUUGGCUCCCACAUGUUCCACGAUGAUCUCAUCGGAUGAACCACGAUGUCGGGGAUUCAAUCAAUCCCGUAUUCAAUUCCCUUUGUCUAUCGGUAUGCUACUUGCCCGAGAUUCGAUCGUCGGUAUCCCGAUACCUUGUUCAAUCUCGUUACGGGCAAGUCUCUUUACUCGUUCCGUAACACAUCAUCCCGUGAUCAACUCCUUGGUUACAUUGUGCACAUUAUGAUGAUGUCCUACCGAGUGGGCCCAGAGAUACCUCUCCGUUUACACGGAGUGACAAAUCCCAGUCUCGAUUCGUGCCAACCCAACAGACACUUUCGGAGAUACCUGUAGUGCACCUUUAUAGCCACCCAGUUACGUUGUGACGUUUGGUACACCCAAAGCAUUCCUAUGGUAUCUGGGAGUUGCACAGUCUCAUGGUCUAAGGAAACGAUACUUGACAUUAGAAAAGCUCUUAGCAAACGAACUACACGAUCUUGUGCUAGGCUUAGGAUUGGGUCUUGUCCAUCACAUCAUUCUCCUAAUGAUGUGAUCCCGUUAUCAACGACAUCCAAUGUCCAUGGUCAGGAAACCGUAACCAUCUAUUGAUCAACGAGCUAGUCAACUAGAGGCUUACUAGGGACAUGGUGUUGUCUAUGUAUCCACACAUGUAUCUGAGUUUCCUAUCAAUACAAUUCUAGCAUGGAUAAUAAACGAUUAUCAUGAACAAGGAAAUAUAAUAAUAACCAAUUUAUUAUUGCCUCUAGGGCAUAUUUCCAACACACGCAAGAUCUAUCUAGGAGAUGCAUAGCAAUGAGAGGGGGAGAGUGUGUCCACGUACCCUCGUAGACCAAAAGCGGAAGUGUUAGGUUAACGCGGUUGAUGUAGUCGAACGUCUUCACGAUCCAACCGAUCUUAGUACCGAACGUACGGCACCUGCGUGUUCAGCACACGUUCAGCUCGAUGACGUCCCUCGAACUCUUGAUCCAGAAGAGGGUCGAGGGAGAGUUCCAUCAGCAUGACGGUGUGGUGACGGUGAUGGUGAUGCGGUCCACGUAGGGCUUUGCUUAAGCACUAUGACGCUAUGAUCGGAGGCGUAAACUGUGGAGGGGGGCACCGCACAUGACUAAGAGAAUAACUGAUGUGCCUUUGGGGUGCCCCCCGCCCCCGUAUAUAAAGGAGCGGAGGAGGAGGCCGGUGGCCAGGAGGGGCGUGCCAUGGGGGGAGUCCUACUUGGACUCCCAGUCCAAGUAGGAUUCACCCCCCUUUUCCUUUCUCCACCGGAGGGAAAAGAAGGAGAGGGAGAAGGAAAGGGAAAGGGGGGCCACACCCCCCUCUUUGUCCUAUUCGGACUCCCUAGGAGGGGGGAACGCGCCACACACCCCCCCGCGGGCUUCCCUCUCUCUCCCUUAGGCCCAUGUAGGCCCAACACUUCUCCCGGGGGGUUUCGGUAACCCCUCGGUACUCCGGUAAAAUACCCGAAUCACUCGGAGCCAUUCUGAUGUCCGAAUAUAACCUUCCAAUAUAUGAAUCUUUAUCUCUCGACCAUUUCGAGACUCCUCAUCAUGUCCGUGAUCUCAUCCGGGACUCCGAACAAACUUCGGUCACCAAAACACAUAACUCAUAAUACAAAUCGUCAUUGAACGUUAAGCGUGCGGACCCUAUGGGUUCGAGAUCUAUGUAGACAUGACCGAGACACAUCUCCGGUCAAUAACCAAUAGCGGAACCUGGAUGCUCAUAUUGGCUCCUACAUAUUCUACGAAGAUCUUUAUCGGUCAAACCGCAUAACAACAUACGUCAUUCCCUUUGUCAUCGGUAUGUUACUUGCCUGAGAUUCGAUCGUCGGUAUCAUCAUACCUAGUUCAAUCUCGUUACCAUCAAGUCUCUUUACUCAUUCCGUAAUGCAUCAUCCCGCAACUAACUCAUUAGUCACAUUGCUUGCUAGGCUUAUAGUGAUGUGCAUUACCGAGAGGGCCCAGAGAUACCUGUCCGAUACACGGAGUGACAAAUCCUAAUCUUGAUCUAUGCCAACCCAACAAACACCUUCGGAGACACUUGUAGAGCAUCUUUAUAAUCACCUAGUGUUGGGGAACGUAGUAUUUCAAAAAAAUUCCUACGAUCACGCAAGAUCUAUCUAGGAGAAGCAUAGCAACGAGCGGGGAGAGUGUGUUCACGUACCCUCAUAGACCGAAAGCGGAAGCGUUAAGUAACGCGGUUGAUGUAGUCGAAUGUCUUUGUGAUCCAACCGAUCAAGUACCGAACGCAUGGCACCUCCACGAUCUGCACACAUUCAGCUCGGUGACGUCCCCCGAACUCUUGAUCCAGUUGAGGCCAAGGGAGAGUUUCGUCAGCACGAUGGCAUGGUGACGGUGAUGAUGAAGUUACCGGCGCAGAGCUCCGCCUAAGCACUACGAUGAUAUGACCGAGGUGUUGAACUGUGGAGGGGGCACCGCACACGGCUAGGAACAAUUGAUGUGUGUUCUAGGGGUGCCCUCCCCACGUAUAUAAAGGAGGGAGAGGGAGGGAGGCAGCCUAGGGCGCGCCCAAGUAGGAGGAAUCCUACUUGGGCCCCUAGUCCAAUUCGGCCCCCCUUACCAUAUUUGGACAAGGGGGAAAGGAAGGAGGGGGGCGGGGAAGGAAGUAGGAGUCCUACUUCAUACUUUCCUUUUCCUCCUCUCCUUUCCCUUUCUCCCCACGUGGCUGGCUCUAUAGGGGGUGCACCAUCCCCUUGUGGGCUGGUGUGUUCCCUUACUUGGCCCAUUAAGCCCAUAUCUUUGCCGGGGGUUGCCCGGAACCCUUUCCGAUGACCCGGUAUCACCCGGAACACUUCUGGUGUCCGAAUAUUGCCUUCCAAUAUAUGAAUCUUUACCUCUCGACCAUUUCAAGACUCCUUGUCAUGUCCGUGAUCUCAUCCGGGACUCCGAACAAACUUCGGUCAUCAAAUCACAUAACUCAUAAUACAAAUCGUCAUCGAACGUUAAGCGUGCAGACCCUACGGGUUCGAGAACUAUGUAGACAUGACCGAGACACAUCUCCGGUCAAUAACCAAUAGCGGAACCUGGAUGCUCAUAUUGGCUCCUACAUAUUCUACGAAGAUCUUUAUCGGUCAAACUGCAUAACAACUUACAUUGCUCCCUUUGUCAUCGGUAUGCUACUUGCCCGAGAUUCGAUCGUUGGUAUCAUCAUACCUAGUUCAAUCUCAUUACCGGCAAGUCUCUUUACUCGUUCUGUAAUGCAUCAUCCCACAACUAACUCAUUAGUCACAUUGCUUGCAAGGCUUAUAGUGAUGUGCAUUACCGAGAGGGCCCAGAGAUACCCCUCCGAUACACGGAGUGACAAAUCCUAAUCUUGAUCUAUGCCAACCCAACAAACACCUUCGGAGACACGUGUAGAGCAUCUUUAUAAUCACCCAGUUACGUUUUGACGUUUGAUAGCACACAAGGUGUUCCUCCAGUAUUCGGGAGUUGCAUAAUCUCAUAGUCAGAGGAACAUGUAUAAGUCAUGAAGAAAUCAAUAGCAAUAAAACUUAACGAUCAUUAUGCUAAGCUAACGGAUGGGUCUUCUCCAUCACAUCAUUUUCCUAAUGAUGUGAUCCCGUUCAUCAAAUGACAACACAUGUCUAUGGUCAAGAAACUUAACCAUCUUUGAUUAACGAGCUAGUCUAGUAGAGGCAUACUAGGGACACUUUGUUUUGUCUAUGUAUUCACACAUGUAUCAAGUUUCCGGUUAAUACAAUUCUGGCAUGAACAAUAAACAUUUAUCAUGAUAUAAGGAAAUGAAUAAUAACUUUAUUAUUGCCUCUAGGGCAUAUUUCCUUCACCCAGUUACGUUGUGACGUUUGCUAGCACACAAGGUGUUCCUCCGGUAUUCGGGAGUUGCAUAAUCUCAUAGUUAGAGGAAUAUGUAUAAGUCAUGAAGAAAGCAAUAGAAAUAAAACUAAACGAUCAUAAUGCUAAGCUAACGGAUGGGUCUUGUCCAUCACAUCAUUCUCUAAUGAUGUGAUCCUGUUCAUCAAAUGAAAACAGAUGUCUAUGGUCAGGAAACAUAACCAUCUUUGAUCAAUGAGCUAGUCAAGUAGAGGCAUACUAGGGACACUCUGUUUUGUCUAUGUAUUCACACAUGUACUAAGUUUCUGGUUAAUACAAUUCUAGCAUGAAUAAUAAACAUUUAUCAUGAUAUAAGGAAAUAUAAAUAACAAAUUUAUUAUUGCCUCUAGGGCAUAUUUCCUCCAAACAAUGUUUACAACACCUGCACACAAACACAGACACAAAAUAUAAAGGGGACUAAUAGACCAAGACAGAGGUAGUAGCACACGGCCGCUCUCUACGCAACGUCGUGAACGAUUGUUCGACCACCGUGUGAUGUGGAACGCGACGUAGUUUCACAUCAUGCCGCCGGCUCGCAACUGCCGGCCGGUUUGUAGACGACCAUUCCCUGCGUGUUCAACUGCUCUAUGCGUGUGGUUGCUCACGGUUGAGGCGGCCGCGGCGCGCUUUGCUCGCGUCCCGCUGUGCGCAUUCUGCUCUCGUGUCCCUCCGCGCGCUCUUCCCGUGUCCCUCCACGCGCGCUGCCAGUGUUUGGGGCCGGCGCAUGAUCACAUACGUCCGUGAUGCCAUUAUGCAUGCGGUUGCGCCGAGCGCGGCACCACGAUGCAGUUACCCACUGCAAAAACAGCCAUGUGGACGUGCCGACAAUCCAGGCCGCCCGACCCCCAUUUAUCCCCGUGGCCAUUUACCUUCAUCUCUCGCGCCGCACGAUACAAUAAGCACACCCACAACGACACAUACAGAGAGGACAUCCAGCGGUUCCAAUGGUGCUUCCCAUGGCUCCAGUGGCGCUCCCAGCGGCCAAUGACGACAACGGGGGGCAGUUCACCAUGCAUCACGUGGUGGACACCCAUGUGAGGGGGAAGGACCUCUCGGUGGUGUACACGAACGAGACGAUCUUGGUGGAGAGCUUCAUCCAAACUAUGGAGCAGUUGCUUGCUGAGGACAAGUACCAAGUGCUCGGCUUCAACCUCCAGUUCACCAGCGGUCGUGUCGGGCAAGAUCAGAAGGUUGUCGUUGCCCAGUUGUGUGUGUGAGAUGACGUCCUCGUCUACCGCUACCACCUGGCCACAAGGCCUUGCGAGCAUUUCACCAGGUUUAUCAAUAGCCCCGACUACAGUUUCACUAUGGUAGACACCACCAACGAUCUAAACACGCUCGAUGUUUCGGGCUUGGCCUGCCAGAAUCUUGUCAACAUCUGUGACCACUACAAGGUCUGGGCAGCACCAAGAACAAACAUAACUCUUUGGUUGACCUCACCUCGGCCAUCAACGACCCCUACUACAUGAAGAUGAAGGAUGAGAGUAAGAAGAACAAGAACGCCUGGCACAGUGCCUGGGAUCAGAGGCUGGAUAAAGAACACAUCAAGUACGCGGCCAAGGACGCGUACACAAGCUACAAGAUGUAUAGGCAGAUAGUUGACAUGAGGAAGUGUCUUUGUCCUGCCCCAAACGAGGGAUCGAGCCACAGAGCAGUGGCGGGGGCGUCAUAAGAAGUAGAUGACUAGAUGAUCGUUUCUCCUAGUUUAGAAUGCAUCCAAUUGUUUAUUGAGGUGUGUGCGAAUGAUUUAUAUAGUCACUUAUGUAAUUGGAUGUUAUUUUAGUUAUAUAUAUGUUGUUCUUCUGUAGACAGAGCAAAACACACGGCUUAUUAGCAGCAAUCGUCUGUGCUAUUAUCGGUCUUCACACACAUUUCUGAUUACAUACCUGUUUGUCGUGUAUCACACACAUCUUGUUCAUUUGAAGUGUUUCUGUUGUCUUGGCUCAUCGCAAAUAGUUCAUCCGAGUGAACUGUAUGCCCUCCAUCGCACACACCUUGAUCUGGCUGACCAUUUUUCUUGUGUUGCCUAAUCACACACAGUUCAUCCCAGUGAACUGUAUGUCGUAUAUCGCACACACCCUCAUCCGACUGACCAUUUUUGUUGUUCUGGCUCAUCGGAAAUAGUUCAUAUGGAUUAACCCUAUCCCGCGCAUCGCACACGCAGCUCUGAUCUGAAUCGUGUUUGAUGUCUGCGCCAUUGCAAACAGUUCGUAUCAUUUUUGACGGGUUUCUUACACCACCAUUUGUGAUUAAUGCAUCGCACACAGUUUCGUCAAAGGGUCUCUGAUUGUAGUGUCGCGUUUGGACAAUCCUGCAGUAGUGGGUGGAUAUUUCAGCUUCAGGUAUUUUUUUAUUAGUAACAAUAUCUUUCAUGUAUUUAGCAUAAGGGGUCAUCUUUAAAAUAUCAGCCAGACGAGUACGCAAAAAGACUUUCCUAAGCAUUUCAGCAAAGCGUUCAAAUUCUUCAUCAUCCUUUUUCUUAGAUGGUUUAGGUGGAAAGGGCAUGGGUUUCUGAACCAAUGGUUCUCUUUCUUUACCAUAUUUUCUAGCAACAAAGUCUGUUUUAUCAUAAUGUUUAUUUUUAGGUUGUGUGGGUUAUCAAGAUCAAUAACAGGUUCUAUUUCAACAUCAUUAUCUAGUUCUUUAUCAUUGUAUAGUUGAGCAUCUAUAUGAACAUCAUCGUUGUCAUUAUCAUUGUCACUAGGUGAAUGUUCAUUACCAGAUUUAGUUUUAGCAUCAUAAAUAGAAACAUCAUUAUCAUCAGAAGGUUUUUCCACCUCAAGUUCACUAGAAGUAUGCAAACUCCUAUCAUUUUGUUUUUGUUUUUCUUUUUAGAAGGACUAGGUGCAUUUACAUUAGUUCUUUGAGAGUCUUGUUCAAUUCUUUUAGGGUGAAAUUCAAGAUAAAGUGGCUCUUGGGUCAUUCUACCUCCUCUAGUCACUACUCUAAUAGCAUGAUCAUUCAUAUUAUUGUUCAUUUAAUUGAGUAACUCACUUUGAGGUUUAGCAACUUGUUCUAACUGAGUUUGAACCAUAGAGGCAUGUUUUCCUACUCCUCUAACAUCAUUAGUGAUUCUAAAUAACAAGUCAAUCAAGCGAGCAAUCAUAUCAGAAGUUUUCUUUAAUUGUUUCAUAACAUGGGUAUUGAAAUGAUCUUGCUUCAUAAUGUAAUUGUCAAUUUCAUAUAAGCAUUGACUAGGAGGUUUAUUAUAAAGGAUGCCACCUUCAUCAAACUUUAAAAGAGAAUUUACCUCUACCACCUGUGGUGGUGUGUCAAGACCAUGUAUUUCUUCAAUAGGUGGUAAAUUCUUAACAUCUUCAACUUUAAUACCUUUUUCCUUCAUACAUUUCUUUGCUUCUUGCAUAUCUUCAGGACUGAGAAAUAAAAUACCCCUCUUCUUCAGAGUGGGUUUAGGCGGUCGUUCAGGAAGUGUCCAAUCAUCAUAAUUCUUCAAUAUAUUAUUCAAUAAUUCCUCAGCUUGUUCAACAGUUUGUUCCUUGAAAACACAACCAACACAACUAUCUAGGAAGUCCCUCGAAGUAUCGGUUAGUCCAUUAUAGAAGAUAUCAAGUAUUUCAGUUUUGUUGAGGAUGAUCAGACAAAGCAUUAAGUAAUUGGAAAAGCCUCUCCCAAGCUUGUGGGAGACUCUCUUCUUCAAUUUGCACAAAGUUAAAUAUUUCCUGUAAGGAAGCUUGUUUCUUAUGAGCAGGAAAAUAUUUUUCAGAGAAGUAAUAAAUCAUAUCCUGGGGACUACGAACACAACCAGGAGCAAGAGUAUUGUACCAUAUCUUAGCAUCACCCUUUAAUGAGAAAGGAAAUAACUUAAGAAUAUAGUAAUAGCGAAUUUUGUCCUCAUGAGCAAAUAGGGCGGCUAUAUCAUUUAGUUUAGUAAGAUGUGCCACAACAGUUUCAGUUUCAUAACCAUGGAAAGGAUCAGAUUCAACCAAAGUAAUAUGGGUCUACAGAGAAUUUAUAAUCCUUAUCAGUAAUAAAGAUAGGUGAAGUAGCAAACUUAGGAUCAUAUUUCAUUAUAGCAUUCAAAGAUUUUCCUUUCAACUUGCAUAAUAAUUUCUUAAGAUCAUCUCUAUCCUUACAAGCAAGAAAGUCCCUAGCAACCUCUCCAUCCAUAACAUAACCCUCAGGUAUUUCAGGCAAUUCAUAUUUAGGAGAUCUAGGUCUAAUAGGUGUUUCAUAAUUCUCAGUUUCAAUAAUUUGAUCAGUUUCAACAUUCUCAAUUUCUUUAGCUCUAGCAAGUUUUUCAUCAAGAAAUUCUCCUAGUGGCACAUUCUUUUCAAGCAAGGUACUAGCAUCAUCAUAAGCAUCAUUCAUAUCAGAAGUAGCAUCAUCAAUUACUUGUGACAUAUCAGGAUUAAUAGCAUGUGGUGGUGUUGCAAGCUUGCAAAAAACAGAAGGUGAAUCAAGUGCAGAGCUAGUUAAACGUUCCUUACCUCCCCUCGUCUUAGAGGGAAAGAUCUUGGUUCUUUCAUCUUUAAGAUUCUCCAUAGUGAUCAGCAGAUAUAAAUCCCAAGUGACUCAACAAAUAUAGCUAUGUUCCCUAGCAACGUCGCCAGAAAAAGGUCUUGAUAACACACAAGUAUAGGGGAUCGCAACAGUUUUUGAGGGUAGAGUAUUCAACCCAAAUUUAUUGAUUUGACACAAAGGGGAGCCAAAGAAUAUUUGCAAGUUUUAGCAGUUGAGCUAUCAAUUCAAGCACACCUGGAGACUAAAUAUCUGCAGCAAAGUGAGCAGUAGCAUAGUAGUAUGGUAAUUUGAUAGUGAUAGCAAUAGUAGUAGCAACAAUAGUAACAGUAACAGUAGUAGCAAUGAUUUUGUAGAAAUUGUAACAGUAGCAAUAGUAAUAGUAACGCAGCAAAGAUCAAUAUGUGAAAAGCUCGUAGGCAUUGGAUCGGUGAUAUCGGUGAUUUCAUUGGAUGAUAUUCAUCAUAUAACAGUCAUAACCUAGGGCGACACAGAACUAGCUCCCGUUCGUCAAUAUAAUGUAGGCAUGUAUUCCGUAAAUAGUCAUACAUGCUUAUGGAAAAUGAACUUGCAUGACAUCUUUUGUCCUACCCUCCCGCGGCAGCGGGGUCCAUAAGGAAACUAAGGGAUAUUAAGGCCUCCUUUUAAUAGAGAACCGGAACAAAGCAUUAACACAUAGUGAAUACAGGAACUCCUCAAACUACGGUCAUCACCGGAAAGUAUCCCAAUUGUUGUCACCUUGGGGUUUGCGGAUCAUAACACAUAAUAGGUGCAUAUAACUUGCAAGAUCGGAUCAAGAACAUAGAUGUAAUGGUGAAAACAUAAACGGUUCAGAUCUGAAAUCAUGGCACUCGGGUCCUAGUGACAAGCAUUAAGCAUAGCAAAGUUAGAGCAACAUCAAUCUCCGAACAUAGUGGAUACUAGGGAUCAAGCCCUAACAAAACUAACUCGAUUACAUGAUGAAUCUCAUCCAACCCAUCACCGUCCAGCAAGCCUACGGAGAGAUUACUCACUCCCGGCGGUGAUCAUCAUGAAAUUGGUGAUGUAGAAUGGUUGAUGAUGAUGAAGACGGAAGAUUCCCCCUCUCCGAAGCCCCGAACGGGCUCCAGAUCUGGCCUCCCGAUGAAGAACAGGAGGUGGCGGCGGCUCCAUAUCGUAAAAUGCGAUGAAACUUCCUCUCUUAUUUAUUUCUCCAAAAAUACGAAUUUAUAGAGUUGGAAUUAGGGUCAGUGGAGUCACAUGGGCCCCACUACUCACUAGGACGCGCCAGAGGGGGGUGGCGCGCCCUGGUGCCUAGUGGGCAGCUGGGCCCCCCCUCCAGUGGGCCUUGGUUCUAGUAUGUUUUAUAUAUUUCAAAAUAACUCCAAAAAGUUUCGUCCGAUUCCGAGAACUUUGUUUCUGCACAAAAACAACAUCAUGGUAGUGAAGGAAAUAUGCCCUAGAGGCAAUAAUAAAGUAUUAUUUAUUUCCUUAUAUCAUGAUAAAUGUUUAUUAUUCAUGCUAUAAUUGUAUUAACCGGAAACAUAAUACAUGUGUGAAUACAUAGACAAACAGUGUGUCACUAGUAUGCCUCUACUUGACUAGCUCGUUAAUCAAAGAUGGUUAUGUUUCCUAGCCAUAGACAUGAGUUGUCAUUUGAUUAACGGGAUCACCUCAUUAGGAGAAUGACGUGAUUGACUUGACCCAUUCCGUUAGCUUAGCACCCGAUCGUUUAGUAUGUUGCUAUUGCUUUCUUCAUGACUUAUACAUGUUCCUAUGACUAUGAGAUUAUGCAACUCCCGUUUACCGGAGGAACACUUUGUGUGCUACCAGACGUCACAACGUAAAUGGGUGAUUAUAAAGGUGCUCUAUAGGUGUCUCCAAAGGUACUUGUUGGGUUGGCGUAUUUCGAGAUUAGGAUUUGUCACUCCGAUUGUCGGAGAGGUAUCUCUGGGCCCACUCGGUAAUGCACAUCACUAUAAGCCUUGCAAGCAUUGUGACUAAUGAGUUAGUUGCGGGAUGAUGUAUUACGGAACGAGUAAAGAGACUUGCCGGUAACGAGAUUGAACUAGGUAUCGAGAUACCGACGAUCGAAUCUCGGGCAAGUAACAUACCGAUGACAAAGGGAACAACGCAUGUUAUUAUGCGGUCUGACCGAUAAAGAUCUUCGUAGAAUAUGUAGGAACCAAUAUGAGCAUCCAGGUUCCGCUAUUGGUUAUUGACCGGAGAGGUGUCUCGGUCAUGUCUACAUAGUUCUCGAACCCGUAGGGUCCGCACGCUUAAAGUUACGAUGGCAGUUAUAUUAUGAGUUUAUAUGUUUUGAUGUACCGAAGGUUGUUCGGAGUCCCAGAUGUGAUCACGGACAUGACGAGGAGUCUUGAAAUGGUCGAGACAUAAAGAUUGAUAUAUUGGACGACUAUAUUCGGACACCGGAAGUGUUCCGGAGAAGUUUCGGAUAAAACCGGAGUGCCGGAGGGGUUACCGGAACCCCCCCGGGGAAGUAUUGGGCCUUAGUGGGCCUGAGGGGAGAGAGAGGGCAGCAGCCAGGAGGUGGCGCGCCCCCUCCCAUGAGGAGUCCGAAUUGGACUAGGGGAGGGGGCGCGGCCCCUCUUUCCCUCUCCCUCUCCCUCUCUUUCCUCCCCCCUCUCUCUUCCUAGUUGGACUAGGAAAGGGGAGUCCUACUCCUACUAGGAGGAGGAAUCCCCCCUCUCCUUGGCGCGCCCCAAGGGCAGCCGGCCUCCCCCUUGCUCCUUUAUAUACGGGGGCAGGGGGGCACCUCUACACACACAAUUGAUAUACGAUAUUUUAGCCGUGUGCGGUGCCCCCCUCCACCAUAUUACACCUCGAUAAUAUCGUUGCGGAGCUUAGGCGAAGCCCUGCGUCGGUAGAACAUCAUCAUCGUCACCACGCCGUCGUGCUGACGAAACUCUCCCUCAACACUCGGCUGGAUCGGAGUUCGAGGGACGUCAUCGAGCUGAACGUGUGCUGAACUCGGAGGUGCCGUGCGUUCGGUACUUGACCGGUCGGAUCGUGAAGACGUACGACUACAUCAACCGCGUUGUGAUAACGCUUCCGCUUUCGGUCUACGAGGGUACGUGGACAACACUCUCCCCUCUCGUUGCUAUGCAUCACCAUGAUCUUGCGUGUGCGUAGGAAUUUUUUUGAAAUUACUACGUUCCCCAACAGUGGCAUCCGAGCCUGGUUUUAUGCGUUGAUGCUAUGCACGAGUAGAACACAAGUGAGUUAUGGGCGAUAUAAGUCAUACUGCUUACCAGCAUGUCAUACUUUGGUUCAACGGUAUUGUGAGAUGAAGCGGCCCGGACCGACAUUACCCGUACGCUUACGCGAGACUGGUUUCACCGUUGGGAGCACUCGUUGCUUAAAGGUGACUGGCGGGUGUCUGUCUCUCUCACUUUAGUUGAACCGAGUGUGGCUACGCCCGGUCCUUGCGAAGGUUAAAACAGCACCAACUUGACAAACUAUCGUUGUGGUUUUGAUGCGUAGGUAAGAACGGUUCUUGCUAAGCCCGUAGCAGCCACGUAAAACUUGCAACAACAAAGUAGAGGACGUCUAACUUGUUUUUGCAGGGCAUGUUGUGAUGUGAUAUGGUCAAGAUAUGAUGCUAUAUUUUAUUGUAUGAGAUGAUCAUGUUUUGUAACCGAGUUAUCGGCAACUGGCAGGAGCCAUAUGGUUGUCGCUUUAUUGUAUGCAAUGCAAUCGCCAUGUAAUUGUUUUACUUUAUCACUAAGCGGUAGCGAUACUUGUAAAAGCAAUAAGUUGGCGAGAUGACAACAAUACUACGAUGGAGAUCAAGGUGUCGCGCCGGUGAUGAUGGUGAUCAUGACGGUGCUUCGGAGAUGGAGAUCACAAGCACAAGAUGAUGAUGGCCAUAUCAUAUCACUUAUAUUGAUUGCAUGUGAUGUUAAUCUUUUAUGCAUCUUAUCUUGCUUUGAUUGACGGUAGCAUUAUAAGAUGAUCUCUCACUAAAAUUUCAAGAUGAAAGUGUUCUCCCUGAGUAUGCACCGUUGCGAAAGUUCUUCGUGCUGAGACACCACGUGAUGAUCUGGUGUGAUAGGCUCUACGUUCAAAUACAACGGGUGCAAAACAGUUGCACACGCGGAAUACUCAGGUUAAACUUGACGAGCCUAGCAUAUGCAGGUAUGGCCUCGGAACACGGAGACCGAAAGGUCGAGCGUGAAUCAUAUAGUAGAUAUGAUCAACAUAGUGAUGUUCACCAUUGAAACUACUCCAUCUCACGUGAUGAUCGGACAUGGUUUAGUUGAUUUGGAUCACGUAAUCACUUAGAUGAUUAGAGGGAUGUCUAUCUAAGUGGGAGUUCUUAAGUAAUAUGAUUAAUUGAACUUGAAUUUAUCAUGAACUUAGUACCUGAUAGUAUCUUGCUUGUCUAUGUUAAAUGUAGAUAAAUGGCCCGUGUUGUUGUUCCGUUGAAUUUUAAUGCGUUCCUUGAGAAAGCAAAGUUGAAAGAUGAUGGUAGCAAUUACACGGACUGGGUCCGUAACUUGAGGAUUAUCCUCAUUGCUGCACAGAAGAAUUACGUCCUAGAAGCACCGCUAGGUGCCAGGCCUCCUGCAAGAGCAACGCCAGAAGUUAUGAACGUCUAGCAGAGCAAACCUGAUGACUACUCGAUAGUUCAGUGUGCCAUGCUUUACGGCUUAGAACCGGGUCUUCAACGACGUUUUGAACGCCAUGGAGCAUAUGAGAUGUUCCAGGAGUUGAAGUUAAUAUUUCAAGCAAAUUCCCGGAUUGAGAGAUAUGAAGUCUCCAAUAAGUUCUAUAGCUGCAAGAUGGAAGAGAAUAGUUAUGUCAGUGAGCAUAUACUCAAAAUGUCUGGGUAUAAUAAUCACUUGAUUCAACUGGGAGUUAAUCGUCCGGAUGAUAGCGUCAUUGACAGAAUUCUUCAAUCACUGCCACCAAGCUACAAGAGCUUCGUGAUGAACUAUAACAUGCAAGGGAUGGAUAAGACAAUUCCCGAGCUCUUCGCAAUGCUAAAGGAAGCGGAGGUAGAAAUCAAAAAGGAGCAUCAAGUGUUGAUGGUCAGUAAAACCACUAGUUUCAAGAAAAAGGGCAAAGGGAAGAAGAAGGGGAACUUCAAGAAGAACAGCAAGCAAGUUGCUGUUCAGGAGAAGAAAUCCAAGUCCGGACCUAAGCCUGAAACUGAGUGCUUCUACUGUAAGCAGACUGGUCACUGGAAGCGGAACUGCCCCAAGUAUUUGGCAAAUAAGAAGGAUGGCAAGGGUAACAAAGGAAUAUGUGAUAUACAUGUUAUUGAUGUGUACCUUACUAAUACUCGCAGUAGCACCUGGGUAUUUGAUACUGGUUCUGUUGCUAAUAUUUGCAACUCGAAACAGGGGCUACAGAUUAAGCGAAGAUUGGCUAAGGACGAGGUGACGAUGCGCGUGGGAAAUGGUUCCAAAGUCGAUGUGAUCGCCGUCGGCACGCUGCCUCUACAUCUACCUUCGGGAUUAGUUUUAGACCUAAAUAAUUGUUAUUUGGUGCCAGCGUUGAGCAUGAACAUUAUAUCUGGAUCUUGUUUAAUGCGAGACGGUUAUUCAUUUAAAUCAGAGAAUAAUGGUUGUUCUAUUUAUAUGAAUAAUAUCUUUUAUGGUCAUGCACCCUUGAAGAGUGGUCUAUUUUUAAUGAAUCUCGAUAAUAGUGAUACACAUAUUCAUAAUGUCGAAGCCAAAAGAUGCAGAGUUGAUAAUGACAGUGCAACUUAUUUGUGGCACUGCCGUUUGGGUCAUAUCGGUGUAAAGCGCAUGAAGAAACUCCAUACUGAUGGACUUUUGGAAUCACUUGAUUAUGAAUCACUUGGUACUUGCGAACCGUGCCUCAUGGGCAAGAUGACCAAAACACCGUUCUCCGGAACUAUGGAGAGAGCAACAGAUUUGUUGGAAAUCAUACAUACAAAUGUAUGUGGUCCGAUGAAUAUUGAGGCUCGUGGCGGAUAUCGUUAUUUUCUCACCUUCACAGAUGAUUUGAGCAGAUAUGGGUAUAUCUACUUAAUGAAACAUAAGUCUGAAACAUUUGAAAAGUUCAAAGAAUUUCAGAGUGAAGUUGAAAAUCAUCGUAACAAGAAAAUAAAAUUUCUACGAUCUGAUCGUGGAGGAGAAUAUUUGAGUUACGAGUUUGGCCUACAUUUGAAACAAUGCGGAAUAGUUUCGCAACUCACGCCACCCGGAACACCACAGCGUAAUGGUGUGUUCGAACGUCGAAAUCGUACUUUAUUAGAUAUGGUGCGAUCUAUGAUGUCUCUUACUGAUUUACCACUAUCGUUUUGGGGUUAUGCUUUAGAUACGGCUGCAUUCACUCUAAAUAGGACACCAUCGAAAUCCGUUGAGACGACGCCUUAUGAACUAUGGUUUGGCAAGAAACCAAAGUUGUCGUAUCUUAAAGUUUGGGGUUGCGAUGCUUAUGUGAAGAAACUUCAACCUGAUAAGCUCGAACCUAAAUCGGAGAAAUGUGUCUUCAUAGGAUACCCAAAGGAGACUGUUGGGUACACCUUCUAUCACAGAUCCGAAGGCAAGAUAUUCGUUGCUAAGAAUGGAUCCUUUCUAGAGAAUGAGUUUCUCUCGAAAGAAGUGAGUGGGAGGAAAUUAGAACUUGAUGAGGUAACUGUACCUGAUCCCUUAUUGGAAAGUAGAUCAUCACAGAAAUCAGUUCCUGUGACACCUACACCAAUUAGUGAGGAAGUUAAUGAUAAUGAUCAUGAAACUUCAGAUCAAGUUAUUACUGAACCUCGUAGGUCAACUAGAUCAAGAUCCGCACCAGAGUGGUACGGUAAUCCUGUUCUGGAGGUUAUGUUACUAGACCAUGACGAACCUACGAACUAUGAAGAAGCGAUGGUGAGCCCAGAUUCCGCAAAAUGGCUUGAAGCCAUGAAAUCCGAGAUGGGAUCCAUGUAUGAGAACAAAGUAUGGACUUUGGUUGACUUGCCCGAUGGUCGGCAAGCCAUUGAAAAUAAAUGGAUCUUCAAGAAGAAGACUGACGCUGAUGGUAAUGUUACUGUCUAUAAAGCUCGACUUGUUGCGAAAGGUUUUCAACAAGUUCAAGGGAUUGACUACGAUGAGACCUUCUCACCCGUAGCGAUGCUUAAGUCUGUCCGAAUCAUGUUAGCAAUUGCCGCAUUUUAUGAUUAUGAAAUUUGGCAAAUGGAUGUCAAAACUACAUUCCUGAAUGGAUUUCUGGAAGAAGAGUUGUAUAUGAUGCAACCGGAAGGUUUUGUCGAUCCAAAGGGAGCUAACAAAGUGUGCAAGCUCCAGCGAUCCAUUUAUGGACUGGUGCAAGCCUCUCAGAGUUGGAAUAAACGCUUUGAUAGUGUGAUCAAAGCAUUUGGUUUUAUACAGACUUUUGGAGAAGCCUGUAUUUACAAGAAAGUGAGUGGGAGCUCAAUAGCAUUUCUGAUAUUAUAUGUGGAUGACAUAUUGCUGAUUGGAAAUGAUAUAGAAUUUUUGGAUAGCAUAAAGGGAUACUUGAAUAAGAGUUUUUCAAUGAGAGACCUCGGUGAAGCUGCAUAUAUAUUAGGCAUUAAGAUCUAUAGAGAUAGAUCAAGACGCUUAAUUGGACUUUCACAAAGCACAUACCUUGACAAAGUUUUGAAGAAGUUCAAAAUGGAUCAAGCAAAGAAAGGGUUCUUGCCUGUACUACAAGGUGUGAGAUUGAGUAAGACUCAAUGCCCGACCACUGCAGAAGAUAGAGAGAAGAUGAAAGAUGUUCCCUACGCUUCAGCCAUAGGCUCUAUCAUGUAUGCAAUGCUGUGUACCAGACCUGAUGUGUGCCUUGCUAUAAGUUUAGCAGGGAGGUACCAAAGUAAUCCAGGAGUGGAUCACUGGGCAGCGGUCAAGAACAUCCUGAAAUACCAGAAAAGGACUAAGGCUAUGUUUCUCAUUUAUGGAGGUGACAAAGAGCUCAUCGUAAGUGGUUACGUUGAUGCAAGCUUUGACACUGAUCCGGACGAUUCUAAAUCGCAAACCGGAUACGUAUUUACAUUGAACGGUGGAGCUGUCAGUUGGUGCAGUUCUAAGCAAAGUGUCGUGGCGGGAUCUACGUGUGAAGCGGAGUACAUAGCUGCUUCGGAAGCAGCAAAUGAAGGAGUCUGGAUGAAGGAGUUCAUAUCCGAUCUAGGUGUCAUACCUAGUGCAUCGGGACCAAUGAAAAUCUUUUGUGACAAUACUGGUGCAAUUGCCUUAGCAAAGGAAUCCAGAUUUCACAAGAGAACCAAGCACAUCAAAAGACGCUUCAAUUCCAUCCGGGAUUUAGUCCAGGUGGGAGACAUAGAAAUUUGCAAGAUACAUACGGAUCUGAAUGUUGCAGACCUGUUGACUAAGCCUCUUCCACGAGCAAAACAUGAUCAGCACCAAGACUCCAUGGGUGUAAGAAUCAUUACUGUGUAAUCUAGAUUAUUGACUCUAGUGCAAGUGGGAGACUGAAGGAAAUAUGCCCUAGAGGCAAUAAUAAAGUAUUAUUUAUUUCCUUAUAUCAUGAUAAAUGUUUAUUAUUCAUGCUAGAAUUGUAUUAACCGGAAACAUAAUACAUGUGUGAAUACAUAGACAAACAGUGUGUCACUAGUAUGCCUCUACUUGACUAGCUCGUUAAUCAAAGAUGGUUAUGUUUCCUAGCCAUAGACAUGAGUUGUCAUUUGAUUAACGGGAUCACCUCAUUAGGAGAAUGACGUGAUUGACUUGACCCAUUCCGUUAGCUUAGCACCCGAUCGUUUAGUAUCUUGCUAUUGCUUUCUUCAUGACUUAUACAUGUUCCUAUGACUAUGAGAUUAUGCAACUCCUGUUUACCGGAGGAACACUUUGUGUGCUACCAAACGUCACAACGUAAAUGGGUGAUUAUAAAGGUGCUCUACAGGUGUCUCCAAAGGUACUUGUUGGGUUGGCGUAUUUCGAGAUUAGGAUUUGUCACUCCGAUUGUCGGAGAGGUAUCUCUGGGCCCACUCGGUAAUGCACAUCACUAUAAGCCUUGCAAGCAUUGUGACUAAUGAGUUAGUUGCGGGAUGAUGUAUUACGGAAUGAGUAAAGAGACUUGCCGGUAACGAUAUUGAACUAGGUAUCGAGAUACCGACGAUCGAAUCUCGGGCAAGUAACAUACCGAUGACAAAGGGAACAACGUAUGCUGUUAUGCGGUCUGACCGAUAAAGAUCUUUGUAGAAUAUGUAGGAACCAAUAUGAGCAUCCAGGUUCCGCUAUUGUUUAUUGACCGGAGAGGUGUCUCGGUCAUGUCUACAUAGUUCUCGAACCCGUAGGGUCCGCACGCUUAAAGUUACGAUGACAGUUAUAUUAUGAGUUUAUAUGUUUUGAUGUACCGAAGGUUGUUUGGAGUCCCGGAUAUGAUCACGGACAUGACGAGGAGUCUCGAAAUGGUCGAGACAUAAAGAUUGAUAUAUUGGACGACUAUAUUCGGACACCAGAAGUGUUCCGGAGAAGUUUCGGAUAAAACCGGAGUGCCGGAGGGGUUACCGGAACCCCCCCGGGGAAGUAUUGGGCCUUAGUGGGCCUGAGGGGAGAGAGAGGGCAGCAGCCAGGAGGUGGCGCGCCCCCUCCCAUGAGGAGUCCGAAUUGGACUAGGGGAGGGGGGCGCGGCCCCUCUUUCCCUCUCCCUCUCCCUCUCUUUCCUUCCCCCUCUCUCUUCCUAGUUGGACUAGGAAAGGGGAGUCCUACUCCUACUAGGAGGAGGACUCCCCCCUCUCCUUGGCGCGCCCCAAGGGCAGCCGGCCUCCCCCCUUGCUCCUUUAUAUACGGGGGCAGGGGGGCACCUCUACACACACAAUUGAUAUACGAUAUUUUAGCCGUGUGCGGUGCCCCCUCCACCAUAUUACACCUCGAUAAUAUCGUUGCGGAGCUUAGGCGAAGCCCUGCGUCGGUAGAACAUCAUCAUCGUCACCACGCCGUCGUGCUGACGAAACUCUCCCUCAACACUCGGCUGGAUCAGAGUUCGAGGGACGUCAUCGAGCUGAACGUGUGCUGAACUCGGAGGUGCCGUGCGUUCGGUACUUGAUCGGUCGGAUCGUGAAGACGUACGACUACAUCAACCGCGUUGUGAUAACGCUUCCGCUUUCGGUCUACGAGGGUACGUGGACAACACUCUCCCCUCUCGUUGCUAUGCAUCACCAUGAUCUUGCGUGUGCGUAGGAUUUUUUUUUAAAUUACUACGUUCCCCAACAGGUAGUUCUACUGAAAACAACUUCAGUCCGGGUUAGUUUCAUUCAAAUCAUGCAAAUUAGAGUCCAAGGCAGGAGCAAAAGCAUUAGGAAAAGUAGUUACGAUGGAAACGUAUCAAAAAGUACUCACACAUGGUCAUGGUGAUAGCAAGGUUGACGAAGAUAGCUCCGGUGAUGGAUUCCCUCUCCGGAGGGUACCAAAACAGGCCUUCAGAUUAGAUCUUCUCGGAAUAGGAACUUGUAGCGGACGAAAGAAAUCGCAAAAAAAUGAUAUGGAUGGUUUCUGGAAUUGUGGGAUUUAUAGGGAAAAAAAUGAACGUAAGGCGCUGGCCCGAGGCCCCAUGCGCCUCCCCACAUGGGUGGGGCCUAGGACGCGCCACCUGGCUGCGUGGGGGCCUAGGGUGGCCCACUGGCCCCUUCUGGUGCCUUUUCGAUUCUUUUAUCUCCGAAAAAUUCCUCGUAAAUCCUUAAGCUAUUUUGCGCUCCGUAAAUAUCGAUUAUUUGAAAGUCAAAAAAAUACAAAAAACAACAACUAGCUCUGGGCACUGGUUAGUCCAAUAUAUAAUAAAAAUUGCUAUAAAAAAUAUAUAAAAGUAAUAUUAUAAUAGCAUGAAACAAUCAACAAUUACAGAUACGUUUCAAACAUAUCAGUCACCAUCCCUUGCAGCAACAACAGGUUGUCUUGCCGCACUACCAUCGAUGACUUCCCUACAACACCGUCACCACCCUUGGAGCACCAACUUGACAUGAAUCGCUAGGGCACUCUCUUCCCCGUCUAGUAGCAAGCCAUGUACAAAGUGGCACCGACCACGAUUGCUACAAUGACAGUCCCUCUGUUGUAUUUUUUUUUUUUCGGAAAAACUUCCAAUCUAUUCAUCUUCAAUCAUGGCAGUACAACGAACACCAGAAAUAAAAUUACAUCCAGAUCUGUAGACCACCUAGCGACGACUACAAGCACUGAAGCGAGCCGAAGGCGCGCCGCCGUCAUCACCCCUCCAUCGCCGGAGUCGGGCACAACUUGUUGUAGUAGACAGUCGGGAAGUCGUCGUGCUAAGGCCCCAUAGGACCAGCGCACCAGAAUAGCAACCGCCGCCGAUGAAGAAUAACGUAGGUUGAAAGGAUUCAACCCGAAGACACAAGAACGUAGACGAACAACGACGAGAUCCGAGCAAAUCUAUCAAAGAUAGAUCCGCCGGAGACACACCUCCACACGCCUACCAACGAUGCUAGAUGCACCGCUGGAACAGGGGCUAGGCGGGGAGACCUUUAUUCCAUCUUCAGAGAGCCGCCGCCGUCUCGUCAUCCUGAGCAGGACACAAACCCUAACAAGACAAGAAAAAACAACUGAAAACGGAGCCCUCCCGCCGGCCCUUGGCAGGAUCCACCGCGCCCCCAUGGCCCUAGGGCCACCAGAGACGAGGCGGACCUGCGGCGGCGCCGGCGAGAAGCAGAAACCCUAGCUUUCUUUCUUGGAGGAGGAGGAGGUGUUUGCCUGGUAUUUUUAUCCCCUCUGUUGUAAUCUGGAGCCUAGUGUUGCGGACAUUCACCAAUUGUGGAUACUAGUGCAGUGGACACUCUGUCGCAGCGCCCACGCCGAGAGCCAAGAUCCGCUGUUCAUCUUGCAGGAGCCCCGCUACGGAUGCGCCGGGCUACAGGCCUCUAGCCGCCAAUUGUUCCAAAGCAAACACAACGCUCACUAGAGUUCGCUACCCUAAACUAUUUUUCCCGUGUGCGUGCACGGUGGUGAUAGGAUGAUAGUUGAAACGUCUGGUGGCGUGAGGAUCAUAGAUAGGAGCAGACCGGAUGGCUUAUGGAGCGGCUGAUUUUUUCCAAAAAUUAUACGGUUGACGCUUAGCACGCACCUUUUGUUAUUUUUUUACUAACCGUUUAUUUAUUAAUAUUUCCCAGGCAUGUUUUGGUUUUUCUUUACAAUUUUUAUGUUUUUCUUUGUGCUCAUUUUUUUAUUUUUUUUGCUUUAUCCUUUAAUUUUUCUUCUUUUUAUGUCUUCUUUUCAUACACAUUUUUUUAUAAGAUGUGAUGACCAUUUUUACAAUCUAUCAAUNNNNNNNNNNNNNNNNNNNNNNNNNNNNNNNNNNNNNNNNNNNNNNNNNNNNNNNNNNNNNNNNNNNNNNNNNNNNNNNNNNNNNNNNNNNNNNNNNNNNNNNNNNNNNNNNNNNNNNNNNNNNNNNNNNNNNNNNNNNNNNNNNNNNNNNNNNNNNNNNNNNNNNNNNNNNNNNNNNNNNNNNNNNNNNNNNNNNNNNNNNNNNNNNNNNNNNNNNNNNNNNNNNNNNNNNNNNNNNNNNNNNNNNNNNNNNNNNNNNNNNNNNNNNNNNNNNNNNNNNNNNNNNNNNNNNNNNNNNNNNNNNNNNNNNNNNNNNNNNNNNNNNNNNNNNNNNNNNNNNNNNNNNNNNNNNNNNNNNNNNNNNNNNNNNNNNNNNNNNNNNNNNNNNNNNNNNNNNNNNNNNNNNNNNNNNNNNNNNNNNNNNNNNNNNNNNNNNNNNNNNNNNNNNNNNNNNNNNNNNNNNNNNNNNNNNNNNNNNNNNNNNNNNNNNNNNNNNNNNNNNNNNNNNNNNNNNNNNNNNNNNNNNNNNNNNNNNNNNNNNNNNNNNNNNNNNNNNNNNNNNCACCCACACACACACACCGGUCGCCUCUCUGGCGACCCGGGCGGAGUCCAGUUCCACGCCGCCGGCCACCCUUCUCACCCCUUCCCUCCCCGCCGCCGUCGCCGGAGGAUGCCGCCGGGCGAAGCCCGCGUGGUGGUGCGGGCGCUCUUCUCGCCUGGCGGCUCUCAGUGGGGGAGGCCCGACCCACUUCUCUGCUCUGCGUGGUUGCUCGCAGCCGGUGGGCUUCCGCCGACGCUCCUCUCCGGCGAGUCGAGGUCUGGUGGCGCCCCCCUUCUUCUCCGGUGAUUGGGGCGAUCCCCUCGUGUUCAACUCCGGGCCGGCUUCUGGCGGCCAUCUCGGCAAUCCAACGGCGGCGGCUCGCCAGAUCUGGGUGAGUACGGCCGGAUCCGGCUCUCCCACAGUGGUGGGCAGCUGUGCCUGCUGGGUGCUCCGGUUGGUGGUUGAGUUGUGGCUGGACAUGGCGGCUGUGGUGCGGGCUGUGUUGGGUUCAACCCGACAGCUCGUCCAGGUGGGAUUCGGGAUGGGGUGGCAGCCUUCCCCCUCGGCUCCGGUGUUGCUACGAGGAUCUGCUGCUUCGUGGUGGCACAACUCAAGGUGGGUGCCACAUCUGCUGGCCAUGGCUCGUCUGCGGUUGCGGACGAUGCACUUGGACUCCGGGGCGGCGGCCCCGAGUGUGGUGGCGGCGGCUUCGGCCAUGGGGUGGUGCGUGUCUGGUGGCGGUGGAUCGUGGGAUCCCGUGGCCAGAGUGAGGUCGGCCUCGGAGGGGUGGUGGUUAGUGGGCGGCGGUCGGUGGUGGCAGGUGGUCGGCACAUCUCCUGGAGAAAUCCUUGCUCCGGUCUUCACCGGAGUAGGCGACGGCGGUGCCCGCGGGUGCCGCGAUCUUUCUUGGUAGCGUCAUCAUGGAGGUGCUCCUCCUCCACACGGCUUUGGCUCCGGAGGAAAACCUCAGAUCAACUGGAUCGGGUGAUGGAGGCGUCUACGCGUCUUUCUCCUCCUUGGGGGCAUCGUCUCGGAGCCGGCUACGACUGAGAGGUUGGUGGAUGAUGGCAUCUUCGCCGUCGAUGGCGGCAUCUUCGCCGCGUGGUUUGCUGAGGCGGGGCGCUGGUUUCUGUUUGGCAACGAUGAUGGCGUCGAGAGGAGCUUGGGUCGUGGCGUGGUCUUCCGUAGUCGGUUCUUCCCGGCGUGUCCGAGGUGCUCUUCUGUGGUUGCUUGGUUGCUUUGAAGUCGGAGCUGCGUUGGAGCGAGUCCAGGUGGUGACGAUGACAGGUAUUCGGUGGUCGUUUGCGGAGGGCACGGUUGGCGCAAGUCCUGCAUAUUUCCUUUAUGUUGCUCGUCGUCAGAAUCGGAGAUGUCGGUUGCUUGCACGUGUGGCCAUCAGUUGGCAUGUGUCGUCGUGGUUGUUCCAUGUCGGUGGCCUGGUUGGCCAGUGCCCGGUGGUGCCCAUGCCAUGUGGGUUGUGUUGUAUCGGUUUUAGCCUGGUUUUUCGUCAAUUAACCAGGUAAUUUUUUUCUUCUUAAUCAAUGAAAAUGGCAAGUCUUUUGCCUCAUUUCAAAGAAAAUUGUGUAUAUGGAGGUGACAUCGCACACGUUGGACAACAAAUAGCAAUUUUAUGCGAUCGAUCGAGCAAAUGGAGAUCAACUAGCAGCAGCUGGGUAUAGAGUACGGUGCGAAAGAGACCAAGAAUCAAACUUAACGUCGGUGCCGAGGAGGAUUCGGCAGCUGCAAGUCAGUAAUGGCGUAUGCCAGUCGGGACAGCAAAUCGGCGUCGGUGUUCUCCUUCCUCAUCGGAUUCUUCUUCGCACUCCCCUCGAACAAUUGGAUGUCGCAGCUGUCGGGCACUCCAUUGGCAUCCAACAAUUUGCCGGACGCCGCCUCGACGCGCCCGGCACGUAGGUCACCGAGCGCGGCGUCCAGGGUC